UGACUGUUAAAGAGAGUUAUAAACAUGGAUGAAAAUUUGAUUUACUCUUUGGUGUAUGCUUGGUUGUGGUUUAAAUUUAUGAAUUCACAUGCAAUCAUAAAAGAAAAAUCAGUUUUGUAACAUGCUUGAAGGAAAGAACUCAAAUUAAUGCUACAACCUUGUGAGACUUGAGCCUAAAAUGUUUAUUUGGAGAGUUAAUAAUCUGUGCAUUCUUGUUUUCUAAAGUCGUUGCAUGAUCUCAUUAUUCUUUGCUUGGUUACUACUUAGAAGGCGUUUCAUCAUUUAGUUCCAAAUGCUAGAACUCAAGCCUAUUUCAUUCAAAGCAUGCUAUUGAUUUGCAUAACACAUAUUCAAGAUGAAGUUGUGUAGUGACCACCACCAAAGCCAAACUGCCGUGUAUCCUACUUCAUUAUAUGUUUAAGUUUAACCCCGUUGAGCCUUGUGUAGCCUAUGUUCUUUGUUAACCCACACUGUCCUCACCUAGCCUAGACUAGAACCAUCCAUACCCUUGUUCUUGAAGCAUAGUAAAGCAUGACUCAAAAUAAAUUCCUUUUUAUUAAUGUAUUGUAGAAAACAAGUGUGGGGGAAGUGAUUCUUGUUGUGUGUGUGUGCCAAAAUCCUUAAUAAGGCACGGGUAGGAAAGAAAAAGAAAAAGAAAAAUUCGUGGAAAAUAGAAUGAAAAGAAGAAAAGUUGUGAAAAAGAGCUUUAAAGUGUCGUUUGUUGAAGAAAGGGUCCAAAAACAUUGAAUUCGGCCCUAAGUGUUGCAUGAAUCUUCCAUUUGUAUUUAAAAGUUGACUCUGCAUUCUAAAGUGAAUUCCAAGUGACGAUUUCAUUGCUUUGCUUGCUAUCGCUCUAAGAACGUUUGUUACCCCCUAUCCUUCCUUUGUUAGCCAUUACUCCCAAAGCCCCAUUGCAACCCUUGACUUCUAUCUUGAGUGAUAUGUGUUUCAAUUUGUGGAGUUAGAAUUUGGUAUGAGCAUAUGGUGUCACUGGUUCUCGCAUCUAAGUAGUAGCAUUCCAUUCAUGAGAUCAUAUUUAAACAUGCUUAUUAGCUCCAGAAACUGCUUUCUUUGUUGUAACAUAUGUGAGUACUAGUCUUUCAUGUUUACAUCAAUCUUCUCACAUAUAACUAGUGUAGGGUGUGUAGUUAGAAAAUGUGUGUGAAAAUAGAGAGUAUCUAGUAAGGAAUUGAGGGAAUUCUCUAAGGCAUGUUACUACCUUCAAAAUGUUGUUUUAAUUGAUUAAAUGUGAACUAGUGAAUGGUGAUUAUGAUUAAGUAUGCUCGAGGGUAAGGAUUGUUUAAAUCUAUGUAAGUGAUGAUCUUGGCAUGUCAUGUUUCAUUAAAAAUCCCUGAGGCAAAUGUUGGAAGGUUUAGGUUGUUAUGUUGUUUCGUUUAUGUUGUUUUGCUCGAGGACUAGCAAAAGCUAAGUGUGGGGGAAUUUGAUAAGAGCAUAUUUAUGCGGCUUAGUUAGCUUGUUCUUGUGCAUUUAUGUUGUUAUUUCUUAGUCAAUUAUGUAUUUUUAAGCUAUUUUCAUGUGUUUGUAGGUCCUAAUAACAAAGUUGGCAAGAAAGUGCAUUUUGGUGCAUGUUGGAGCAUUUUUGAGCCAAGAUUGGAUAGUGCAAGCAUGGAGACAUGAGGAUGGAUGUUUUUGAAGAUUAGAAGGCUAGAAAUCAGCAUGUGUGUGUGCAAAUGUGUUGAUUUUGGGCUGAAAUGGUGAAGAGCAUGUGUGUGCACAUGCCAAGACAACAUGCAUACACACACAUGGACAACACGGCACAUGGGCAAAGAGAAAGGCACACCAUGGACAGCUUGGCAUGGGCAGAAAAUAAGUGGAUUAGUGGCUGAUAUGAUGAAGAUGUGUGUGUGCAAAUGCAAAGGUAAACAUGUACAGCACACACACAUGCAAACCCACGGCAAAGUGAGGGUCUUUUUGUGCAAAGGUGACAGCAUAAACACAUGCAAAGGGAGGAGACAUCAAAUAGCUCACACACAUGCAAGGAUGACAUACAUAUACAUGCAAACUACAUAGACAGGUUGGAGGGCAGAAAAUGUGUUUGUUUUGUGGUUGAAAUGAUGAAGAACAUGUGUGUGCAAGUGUACAGCUAGUACAAUGUGGAAAUGAUGAUUACAUGGCAGCACACACACAUGGGAAAGCAAAGAAUACACAUCACAUGGUAACACACGGCACAUGGGCAGAAAAUAGGUGGUUUUGUGGUUGAAAUGAUGUAGGUCAUGUGUGUGCAAAUGUAAAGGCAAACAUGGACAACACACACCUAUAUAAACUGCACAUGCAAGGAAUUGAAGUGGUCCUCUCCUUAGCCUAUAAAUACAUCCACCAUUCCCCUUCCUAAAAACAAUCUUGAUCCAUAAAAAAAGAGCUUCAUUCACAAACACAAGUCCCUUGCCGUGAGCUCCAUUCCAUUUCAUCCAUACAUUCAAACACAUCUCCAUACACUUCCAUUUUCCAUGCCAUGAGAUCCAUUCCAUCCAUACAUCCAUAAAUCCCACAUUUCACAAACACAAAUACAUUUUCCUUCCCUUGGCCGAGACAUUCACCAAUCCUAAAUACAUUCCUAACCUUUCCAUAUAUCCAUACAUAUCCUAGACACUUGUGCCGCAACAAAGAGAAGGAGGACCCUUGGACGUGCUUGCCAUUCAAGUUGGAUUGUUGGAGAGUUUUUAGGUGUUUUCAUUCUUUUAUUUUCAAUGUUUAAAUUUGUUUAUCUUUGCUUUGUGAGUAUGAGGAACUAAACCCCCCUUAGCUAGGGGGAAUUCGAAACCAUGUUCAUGGUUACAAUAUGAUUUGAUUACUUUCAGUUGUGAUUCAUAAGUUGUGAAUUCAAUUUACUUAUCCAUUUAAAUUAAAACUGAUUUGUGUAUGUUGGUUGAGAGUACACGGUUAAUUUUCAUGCAUAAUCUGAUGCUAGGAUAUAAGGGAGUUUCACCUAAUCGUUAUGAACUUAUAUUCACAAGUAGUGAAGGUUGCUCAUCACAACCGUGUUAAGUAAAUUCUUGGCAUAAGUUUCAUGCAAUUCAUAGUUACAAGUGUUUCGUCAAUGCUUAUGAUUUUCAUAGAACUUAAUGAUUCUUGCUUGUAUCUCUAUUAUGCAAUUCAUGUAGGGAACUUGUGGGGAAUGCUUUGGGUUGUUGUAUGCAAUCAUCCAAUUCAAUGAAAUUAGGAAAAUCUGAGGAUUAAUUAGUGCAAUUCACAGUUAAUCUGGGGCGUUGAGAAUUCGUAGUUUAUUGAAAAGCAAUUGGAAAUCGUUUUGUUUGCAAGUGUGUCAUGUGUGGAGAAGAACCUCCUAGCUAGCCUUCCAUCCAUUCAAUUUACUCAAAUUCGUGCAGAUUUCAUUAGUUCUUUAAUUUACUUGUUUUGUUUUCAAAUUCAUCAAAACCAAAACCCCCUUUACCUUGUUGAGUCAUAUUAGUUAGAAACUGAUUUAGUUUGUGCUUUUAAGUAUUUCGAACCAAGUUGAAACCAAAAUUCGUCCAAAAGUGUGUUUAGAGUCCAAAUCUACCCAGUUUGUGUUUUUAGGCAGAUUUGAGUGUUUUUAGCUUGUUUUGAGUUCUUUGAAUUUGUUUUGAAUUCUUUGAGUCUAGUUUAGUGUUUUUAACUUUGUUUAUAUGUUUUUAAGUCAGUUUAGAGGUUAUUAACAAGCCCUCCUAAUCCCCAGUCCAGAACGAUCCCUACUUAUACUUAUACUACAAUUGUCAAAAGAGGGUUAAAUUUGUGUGUUAAGUUAAUUUUCGCAUCAGUUACCACUAGAGUUGGCGAGAGUGCACAAUGUGUUUCAUGUUUUGAUAGGAGCAUAUUUAUGCAACUUAGUUAGCUUAUUUUCUUGCGUUUACAUAACUAAUUUUUGUUUUUUAAAGUGUUUUAAGCUAUUUUCACAUGUUUUCAGGUUCAAAUGAUAAAGUUGGCAAGAAAGUGCAAUUUGGAGCAAUUUGGAGCAGUUUUGGGCCAAGAAUGGAUAGCAUGCGUGGGGAGUACUUUGGAUAGACGAUUUUGAAGUUCAAGAGGCUAGGAAUGUGCUAAAGAUUUGGAAGAAAUGAAUUCAAGACAAAGAAGAUAAGGAAUCAGCUAAAAAUAAGGAACACUAUUCAAAACCUUAUCCAACCUUAUCUUAUCCUAUCCUAAUCCUAUCCUACCUUAAUUCUAGCUGCAAGGGGGACUCCUUAUCACAUUAGAAUACCUAAUAUCUUAUUCUAGAAACCUUGAAACAAUGCAAAUAACCUUAUCCCUUUUACCCCUAGAAAUCUGAAGAAUUUAAUCCCUUCUCUUCUAGAAACUUACUGUGUAUCCUACUCCCUUUCAUCCUAGGCUUGUGCAAUCCUUUUUCCUUCAGAAAUUGUGCAAACCCUAGGCCUAUAAAUACAUAUUUAUCACCACAAUUUUGUGCACGACACACAUAAAAGCCAAAACAUCAGAAAAAUACAAUUGUGUCGCAGCUUUGCAAGGAAGGAAGGAAAGGAGACCCUUGGAGUUGUGCCUGCCAUUCAAGGCUUUGGAUUGCUGGAACAUUUCUAAGUGUAUUCUAUCUUUAGUUUUAGUUCAAUGUCUAAUUUAGAUUGGUUUCGUUUAAUUGCAAAUAUGUGGAACUAAAUUCGUUUUAGUUAGAGGAGAAUUCGAAGCCAUGAAUAUAUGUGUGAUAUGAAUUGAUUACAUCCAGUAUGAUUUCAUGAAUCAUGAAUGCAAUUCACUUAUCUAUUUGAUUGAUAACUUAUUCUUGUGUGUUAAUUGAGGGUGCACACUCAGUUUGCAUGCAGGGAUUUGAUGCUAGAAUAUAAGGGAAUUUCACCUAAUCGUUAUGAACUUAUAUUCACAAGUAGUAAAAGUCACUAGUCAUGAUUGUGUUAAGUGAAUUCUUAGCAGGAGUAUCAUGCAGUUCAUAGUUAUGAAUGCCUUGUCAAUGCUUAUGAUUUACAUAGAACUUAAUGAUCUUUGAUAUGUAUAUCUAUUAUGCAGUUCAUGUAGAGAACUUGAUAAGAAUAAUUUGGUUGCGUCGCUGAGUCCAAUUCAAUAAAAUUAGGAAAAUCUUAAAGUUAAUUUGUUCUUCUCACGAUUAAUUUAGGGCAUUGUCAUUCAUGGUUUAUUGGAAGAAUAACUGGAAAUCGAUUUGUAUGCAUGUGUGUCAUGUGUGGAGAAUGACCCUCUAGCUAGCCAUUCACCCUUUACUUCACCAAAUUCGUCCAAAGUAUUUAGAGUCUUAAAUCUACUUAGUUUUAGUCUUAAAUUCGUCAAGAAACAAACCCCCCCUUUAUAUUUCAAGUCUUUAGGUUAGAAUCUGUCCAAAUUGGUUGUUUUCCAUUGUUUUGAGUCUUUCUAGUUCAAUUUUUGUCCAAAUUACAUUCUAGUUCUUGUUUUGAGUCAAUUUAGCUCAGUUUGUGUGUUUUGAGUCAGUUUAGUCUAUUUUGAGUAGUUUGAGUCCAGUUUUCUGUUUUAGAAUCUAGUUUUGCGUUUUUGAGUUUCUUUUGUGUUGAUUAGCAUCCCUAACUAAUCCCCGGCCUAGAACGAUCCCUACUUACACGUACUACAACUAUCUUAAUAGGGUUUAAUUUGUGUGUUAGUUUUUACCACAUCAUGGUUCAAUGCUACUGGGGUACGUCUCUGAUUCGUCACACAUGAUCCCUCCUUAACCGCUAGAGAUUAAUCCAGAUUUGACCUAUGAUGAGGUUCCAGUGACUAUCCUUGAUUGGAAAGAUAAGGUUCUUAGGAACAAGAUUGUGCGGAUGGUGAAGUUUUGUGGAGGAACCACUCAGUUGAAGAAGCUACUUGGGAGACAGAAAAGUGCAUGUGAGAUAUGUAUCCAUGUCUGUUCUAUGGUUUUGAUCUGUAAUCAAGGAUGAAACGGGGAUGAAAUUUUUAUAAGGUGGGUAGAUUGUAAUGACCCGUCCCUAGUUUUCUAUAUAAUUUCUCCCCGAGUAAGUGAUAUGACUACUAGGCCCUUAUUGGCAAGUGGCGUGGACGUAUUUAUAUUGCUUUUAUUUUAUUUAUCAUUAUCGCAUUUAAAUUGUACACGUUGUUAUGAGUGUACGAGAAUUUCUAUCAAUGUACUGUUACGGAUAGAUUUCGAUUCCCUUUUCUGUACAAAAUCUAAAACUUUAUCCCUAGCCUUCUAUUUAGCCCAUCCCGUGCUCCCCUUUAUGUCAUCCAUCAAUCCCAUCUGCUCCCUCUUUGCAGCAACCAAUUAGAAAAAAAGAGAAAUGGACUCUCUCUCUCAUGUAUACUAUCCCUGUCUGCAAACCCCUUGAACAAACCUUAAACCUCACAGAUCGAACCCAAAAACCACACCAUUGUAGUCCUCUCAUCUUCACAAACACAACCAUGUUCUUGAAACCCGGAAUGGACGAGUUUUCAACAUCAAACUCGUGAGGUCCGAACUCAGUACUUUGAGUUCAUUGUGUUUGGGACCGAGUUACAGACUUUUAGGAAAUUUGAAGGCUUCCAUUAUACUCCCCGAGAUCCCUAGUGAAGCUUUGGUGAAGAAGCCACGUCGAAACAACCGAGUUUCGAAGAGUUCCAGUUUGGCUGGAACUUUCGAGGUGAUUUCCGACCACCUCCGUCCACUUUUUGGACUCUAAACAGGUAAAACGCCAUUCUACACUUCAUUAGCUUAAAAUCCAUAUAAAGUGGGUUAAAAAUGGAUGAGAAAUGUUAUGUUAAUUUGAAAUUUUCCCAGAAAUCUGACAAAAAUCAAGUUGCAGAUGGCGGUAGACUACGAUGACGGCGAGGACAAUCGGAGAAGGUGACGGAAUAUUCCGUUAAAGUUCACGAAAUAUUCCUGACGACGUCAGGUAACGCCGUUAAUCUUUGUUAGCAUUUAACAGAAUAUUUCGUGGAAUAUUCCUAACGGCAUCAGGCUAGCUGAUGGCACUGGCCUGUGCGUAGGGCCACGUCUGGCCGUGCCAUUGCCGGCGUGUGGAGGCACAUGAAGGGUCCAUAAUUUAUUCUAAAAAUAUGGGGAUGUUCGUGAUGUCGAGUAGGUCACGUUAGUAUAUUUAAACCCUACGUUUAAGCAAACUAUGGGAGUUUUAUUUAGGUUUACGUAUAUGUGCUUUAAUUAAUUCGAAAUUAGUUAUUUCACACAUAGGGGAAACGUAUCCCGAGGACAUUCGAGGCCAAGUUAGGCCCGAGGGCUACGACCCAGCGACAUACUUGUGAGUGGGCAGUUUGUUUUUAUACCUAUACAUAAUUAUAGUUUCCAUAAAUGCAUAUUUACUUCUCUUAUACGCUUGUAUUGCCAAGUAUCGUUAUUGUGAUAUUAAUUGUGAUAAAUGCUGCUAUAUGGUUGAGAUAUUACUGUCAUGACAUUCAUUCACAUUUGUACAUGCUCAUCUUGUUGCACCGGUGUUAGUACUCGCCCCAGGGCCAGGGCCAAUCCUUCACGUGUAUGUUCACAUAACACCGUUCACUCUCCUUGGAUCCAAGUUAGGUGCCAAUCAUGUCAGGUAGAUUGCAUUAGGCAAUCCGACUUGUAUGUGACCGUGCUUCUGUACCAGCCUUUAUGUGAUCGUAGUACUAGAGCAUAUUGAUUACACCCAGUCCUGUUUAUGUUAGAAAUUAUCUGUUCGAACUCGUGUGUCAGCCUAGAUGGAUGAGCACUUAGCUAACCAGUCUUUAUGUGAUCGUAGUACUAGAGCAUAUUGAUUACACCCAGUCAUAUUGGUGUUAGAAAUUAUCUGUUCGAACUCGUGUGUCAACCUAGAUGGAUGAGCACUUCGCUAUACUUGAUUAUCACAUGAUUAUAUUAUUUUGGCAUUUGACACAUCAUGACUUGGCAUUUUUCUGGUUAUAAUAAUAUUAUAAUGCUGCUGAUUUAUUGUUUACAUACCUACGUAGUAUGUUUUAAGGAAAAUAUACUUGUUUUACGGCGAGGGGUUAAUAUAUUCGAAGAUAAAGGAUUUCGUAUAAGCAUUGUUUUGCUGACCCACUCAACUUUGUUUUUUGCCCCUCCAAAACCUAGAUAGUUGUUCUCUUUGUGGCAUUCGAGAAAUCUCGGCAGUUCUAACAUUCUCUUCUAUUUAGACGUACGAACUUAUCAUUGUUAUGUAAUAAGUGUACUUCAGUUACUUUGACUACUAUUCUGUAGUCUCACUGUUUAUUGCACUUUCAAUAAUUGUAGUGGGUUCUUCCCACGAUUGCGCACUCUUUCACUAUUUAGUAUAAUUAGUUUCAAUUAGUCUUGAAAUUAUUCACUUUUUACAUCACUUACCCUUAUGGUUACGUCACCUCACGGUGAUGGCCAGCAUGUUUCGACCUUCCCAAGUCGGGGUCUGUCAAUGUCCCUUACUUUAUUUGGUUUGUUUAAUCCGAUAGUCAAAAAUAAAAGAAAAGUAUAAAAAUUACCUCUGCUAAUAUUUAUGCGACUAAUAAAUUUAUAAUAUGAAAUCUAGGCUGGAGAUUUAUGAGCAUAAUAGAAGUUUUUUACAUGAGCUUGUUGGAUUUUGUUUGUUAUUAUCCACCAUUAGGUUUUAUAUUGAAGUUUAUUUUGAAAUUUUAUCCAUAGGUGCUUGUAUUAUUACACAAAUUUUUCUGUCUAGUUCUUUAAUUCAUUGAAAGAGAAUUAUUACUUAUAACUAUCUUUUUUUUUUUGGUUAAAGAGCAAAUAUUAGAUACGAAUUGAAAUGUUUACAUUAGAUGCCAGAGAAUUAAACAACCAUUCUGGUUCAAAACAAUCCCACGUAUGAUAACCCCCCACACGCGUGACAUAAGAUGCCAUUAGAUGCACGGCCCCAUUACAUGCACGAGAGGUAAAGAGAAACUCAACCGAACUUAACUGCGGCUUCAAUUGCUGAAUGUCCCACAUAAUAUCUUCAAUGAUGGCCUCGGGUUGUAAUACUCCAUUUAACAUAUCCACCAUGAUCUUUGAAUCAGUUUCCACUUGCACCAUCGCAAAGCCUUUCUCAACACAUGCCAACAGAGCUGCCCUCAUGGCUUCCGCCUGUGCCAUCAAACUAAAGUGACAUAAGAUAUUUCCCACCCCUCCAGCUCCCUUGAAUAUCGUACUAUUAGACUCUGAAAAGGAAGGGGAAAUUUGCCCAUGACUGCAAGUAUGCGGUCUUUUCGGAAUUUUGUGACGAACACAAGAUUGUUAGACUUGGGAUUUGAAGGUUACCCUUAUACAUGGCGCAAUAGACGUGAUGAGGGUUUUAUUCAGGAAAGGAUUGAUCGGGCACUUGCCAUGAACGAAUGGGUGUGAUGUUAUCAACAAGCGGUGGUUAAACAUGUGGUGCUUGAAGGGUCAGACCAUGCUAUGUUAAUUCUUUCGAUGGAGAUAUUUAUAACUUAUAUGGUAAAAUUCAUUCUUCUUUAGGAAAUUUUUGUUUCUUUCUCUUUUCUGGCAUACAUAUGGAUAUACUAUAUAUAUGAAGACAUUAUUAAUUUCUAUUUUUGUCUUUUCGCAUUUAAGAAAGAAUAACAAAACAUCUUAAUAAAAAAUAUCUCAAGCAGGUUGGCCAUUCAUCUAGCACUCCGAUGCGAUAAUAAAUUUACAAUUUCUAAUAAGCAAAUGUAUUUGUGUCAACAUUACUUCUCACCAAAAAAUUUCCCGUGUAUUAUUGGGCUCAUUUGCAAAAUGUAAAACAUUAUGAGUUCAAAUCCAGCCCAAUUAGGUGCUGGUCACUCAUCCUGCCUACAAUGCAUCCAGACUUUUCCAUUUUACAAUUAUGAUUUUUCAAACACAGAUAUUGAGAGGGAAAUCAGAAUCAGAAUUACAAUUAGAGUGGACAUUUUGUAGUGAAUAGCCACACCUUUGAAUCUUGGGAGGGUUCAGGCCUGCGAUUACCAUUCAUGAUUGAAACGAGGAAUUCGUCCCGUAUAAAUAAAAAAUUCAAAUUUUGAUCUGGGAAUAUUUGGGAUUUUUUAUAUAUUAGUGCUUUCAAAUGGGACCAGGAUCUUCUCCUGAGCUAAGGAUGAGGAUCCUCCUCAUCAAUGUGUGUGGGCUGUUGGAUGAAAAUCCAACGGCUACAAAUAGGGGGGUCCCUUUAAAGUUAUAAUAAUUUUAGCCGUUGGAUGAAAAUCCAACGGCCCACAUCCCUCAUCCAACGGCCCACAUCCCUUGAUGAGGAAGAUCCUCAUCCUUAGCUCAGGAGAGGAUCCUGGUCCUUUCAAAUGUAUGGUUUUGUAGUUGGAGGAAGAAGAAGAUGAAAGUCAAUAGUUUUAUACCAUUUGUAACUAUUAUAGAAUAGGAUACCACAUCGAUCAUAUGAAAUAAAUAAGGAAAACUAAUGAAAAGGCUUGAAAACUUUGAGUUUUAAUGAUAAGGACAAAAUAAAUGGUAAAGUGAAUAGUACCAGGAUUGACUUUUUAGUAUAAAAAUGUGGUUUUUCCUUUAAGUGAACAGUACCGGGAGCUUUUCGUUAAAGUUCCCAUAAAUAAAUAAUGUGCAAUUAGUAUAUGGAACUUCCACCCUUAAUAUCACCGAUGUCUUUUGUAACAAAACCCAACACCUAAUAAUAGGUGGUUAAGUUCAAACAAUAUCAGUGAUAUUGGUGGUGAAGCAUGCUUGGACCUACAAAGUUUAUCAUGGUACUAGAACAAGUUAUUCUCUUGACACGUCAUGGACCCUUACUAGGCUUAAGCAUGCUUCCUAAAGUUGGAUUUUCGAAAAGAUGAAUUAGCGCAGACUUAACGCAACUGUAUGAUUGGGCAUUCGAAAAGAUUGGUGUUGGCUCUGAAGGUUGAAAAUCGACCGAUCAGGCUCUCGAAAAGAUUGGCGUUACUUUCGAUAUAAAGACUUGAUCAAUUUCUAAUAUGAAAAUUCAUUUUCCUUGUGAUCCCCUGUUGGGCCACUCGCGAGGGGUUUUGUUGGAGAAUAGGAUAACACAUCGGUCAUAUGACAAAUUAAUAUAUGGGAGUUUCCACCCCUAAUGUCACCGCAGCCCUUUGUGAUAAUAUGUAAUUAAUAUAUAUAAGUUUUCACAUCAAUCAUAUAUGAUUCUUUCAUAGAGCAUUUCAAAUAUUUUUUUUUAAAGGAUCCACCUCUAAAUGAGACUAUUUAUAAAUAUCCUUAGGAUUUAGAAGUUUAGGGCUUAGGUUUUAGGAUUGAUUUCAAAUGGGACAAAAAUGAAGCCAUUCUCGUUGGUGAUGAUGCAAAUGAAAUGCAUGGGUGGUAGAUUUUAGAGUUUGUUUUCUGAUUUUCAAUUCCUUCAUUUGUUGUUGUUAAACCAACUAGGGGUCUCCAAUAGGGGGACCUCCUCUCCCUCUAUUUGUUCCCAAUUAUCAGUGAAGUCCUCUCCUUGGUUAUUAAACGGGUGGUGGUACAUUGAAGGUAUUAAGAUGUCAACUUCGGGUCCGGUGCUUUCACACUUAUUAUUUGCAGAUAAUACUCUAAUCUUUCUAAUGGCUACCAAGGAAAAUUGUAGUAAUCUGUCAAGCCUUCUCCACGUUUAUUGCAAAGCUUCUGGGCAGCAAAUUAGCCUUAAAAAAUCGAUCGUUUAUUUUUGGGCUAAUACCCCAACUCAUUUGGCUCUCGAGCUAUGUAAUAACUUAGAUAUGCUGAAGGUUGAUAAUCCGAGGAAGUAUUUGGGUAUCCCAACAAUCUGGUGGAGAUCAAAGCGUGAUACUCUAGAGUAUGUUAAUGACUUGGUUUGGCUAAGGUUGCAGGGUGGAAAAGACGGCUUCUUUCUCAGGCGGGGAAUGAAGUACUCAUUAAAGUAGUGGCCUAAGAAAUUCCUAUGUACCUAAUGUGUGUCUUUCAAUUGCCAAACAAAUUGUGUAAUGAGAUUGAUGCGGUGGUGGUGAGGUUCUGGUGGGCGGGGGCGGAUGAGGAUUGUGGGAUUCACUGGAUAAAUUGGGCUGAGAUGGGUCGACCUAAGAGGGAUGGAGGAAUGGGGUUUCGUAAUCUUAAAGAUUUUAACAUUGCCCUAUUUGUAAAAUAAUGUUAGCGGUUGAUACACGAUCUAGACUCUCUGUGGGCUCGGGUCUUAAAUGAGUGUUAUUUCCCAAAUGUCUCUUUCUUGGAUGCCAAGAAAAAUGGGAGGGCCUCUUGGGCGUGGGCCAGUCUAUUAAAGGGAAAAGACCUUAUCCUUAAAGGUGUAAGAUUGCAAAUUUUGAGCAGGCAGAAGUUUAUAUUCUGGAUAAUUGGGUCCCGAGCAUCCCUUCGAGGCACUCUACCCUUCCCCUUCACUCGAAAAUCAACAAGGAGACAAGGGUUGCUAUGUUUAUUGAUCCAGUCUUGAAAGAUUGGAAUUUUGCCAUUGUUUCCGAGUUAGUUCCAGAGGUGAAGUGUAUUGUCAUUUCUAACAUUCAUGCAGGACCGCUUAUGAGACCUAAUAAGCUAGUCUGGCUUUUUGAGAAGAAUGGCACCUAUUCGAUGAAGUCUGGGUACCGUUGGUGUCAUAACCGUCAUCCUCAAACUUGACAUGAUCACCUAUCAUCAUCUUGCAGCACCGACCCUCAGGUGUGGGGUUGGAUAUGGAGGUGUAAGCCCUCCCCCGAAGAUGUGAUUUUUCCUGUGAAGGGAUAUGUACGAUGCUUGCGCAACUAAGUUAAACCUUUUUUUUACGACGGUGUGCUUCGUCCCCCAUAUGCCCCAUUUGUGCUGCUAAUGAUGAGACCAUUGAACAUAUCCUCCUUCUCUGUCCGUGGGCUUCUCGGAUGUGGUAUGGGGGUCCACUGCGCUUCAAAUUAACCAAAACGCUAUUACCACAUUCGCAGAUUGAUUUUGCUCGGUUGCCAAUUUAGCAUAAGGAAAAAUGAGGACCUGGACCAGAUACUUUCGCAAUUCGUGUUUUCAUGCUGGUUUAUAUGGAGAGCCAAAUGUGAUGCAAUUUUUAACUUGAUUGAUCAUUUUCUCCCUGCAGGACUAUACGGGCCAUUGCUACUGCUUUGGAUUCCUAUGAAUCGGCCUUUACCCCUCUCCGGAUGUCGGGCCUUGUCAGGGGCAGUUCCUUUCCAGGUUUGCCUCGGUCCACUCUGUGGUUUCCUCCCCACGCUAACUAGGUGAAGGUCAAUGUCGACGCCUGUUGGAAGAUGGAUACCCUUUUGUGGUUCCAUUGGGGUUGUUGUCAAAGAUAGUUCCUCAGUGAGGAUACUUGCGUCUUGUAGGGCGGUAUGAAGCGUGAGGAUACCUGCGUCCAAUGCCGCUAUGACGAAGGCUUUCGCUAUUCUGGCGGGCUGCUUGCUUGCGAAAAAUUUACAACUGCAGGAGGUGGUGAUUGAGUCGGAUGCAGAAGACAUUAUUCAUUCCCUCAAUUCACCCUCUCUGAGCUGUGCUUGGGACCUCCUCCAAAUCCUUAGCUGUGUUUGGUAGGUUAGGAGGAGUUUCCAAACAUGCUCCUGGUCGUGGAUCCCACGAUCAUCAAAUAUGGCGGUUGAUUUUGUCACAAGAAACAUAUCACCGAAGAUGUGUGGCUUCGGUUGGGUUGUGAGACCACCAUAUACUCUUGUAGGUAUCUUAAACAAGGACAGUCUUUUGUGUACUCCAAUGUAAGGGUUGGGGGUUCUUUUUUUGUGGGUAAAUGGGUUGAUGCUGGUGUCCUUAUUGGAGGUGUCUUCAUGUGUCCUACAUAUCUCUAUCUUCUGGUUUCUUGGUUAGCCCAUUGGCUUUCUCUUGUUGUUUGGCCUUAUGCCUUGGUUUCUUCUCUGAAUCCAUGUUUCAACCAAAAAAAAAAGUAUUACAAAAGACAAUUUAAUGUGUAGAGCUUUCCUACUAAAAUUAAGAGAGUUUUAACGAAACACUCCCGGUACUGUUCAUUUUUAAUGAACAAUGACAUUUUUAACUUUUCUGGUAAUAUUUACUUACACUUUUAUUUGUCAUUUUUAAUUAAAACUAAAUUUUUUGAGGAUUUUCGUUAGUUUUCCUUAAAAUAAAACUAUAAGUUCACUUGAUAUAAAAUUUCACAAAUUAGCUAGUCUAGUAUUUCAUCUAUUAGGAUGAAGUUAUCAACAUACUCAGCCCACUAUAUUAUUAAUGCAUCAAAUUAUUAUUAAGUGUAUGUUGCUUUUUCUUUGAACUACAACAAAUCACAACCAGAGGGAAUGUGUCAUGUCAAAAGCCAAUUUAAAUCAUUUUUUGAGCAUAAGUAUGAUAUUCAUUGAUAAUGAAAUUGAAUAUGUACAACAUUGAGGAUAGGAUGCAUGUAAUGGGCCUUGAGAACAAUAGCAUGAAAUGAAAUGAAAAUUAUACAAAAUUUCUCGAAAAAACAAAAAUAUACCUCAACCAGAUCCAUAGCUAAAAUGACACACUCUUACCUAAAUCAAGGCAUGUUGGCCGUCACGUGAGGGUGACGUAGCCAUGUGCAUAGUGCGGAAGCAAUAGAGAUAUGAGGAAUUACGAAUAAACAAAAACCAAAUCAACUAGAGUUCUAGAUAAGAUAAGGUGCCAGUGUGAGAUUAAGUGUGAAAUACACAACCAGAGCAUAAAUAGCCUACAUGCAGUCAAGCAGGACCAGUAUUAAUUAUACAACACCUAAGGGUGAUCCUACAUUUAUGAUGUUCUAUCAGAACCACCGUUGAAAUCCCCGUGAGCCACCAAAGCACUUGUACCUAAAACCUGGAAGGGCGCAAAACAGAAAGUGUGAGUGGGCAAAAACAAAGCUUUUCGAAAUCAUUUCAUUUCUCAAAAGUUCUAAGCCAUCGCCGUAAAACCUGUAUAAUUUUCCAGAAAAUAAUAAUAAUAAUAAGUUGUAUUAGAAAUCAUACUCAAGAUGAAAAUCCAUAGAAGUAUACCAUGCCAAAGUAUCUCAAUGCAAUGCCAUGAGUAAUCCAAACAAAAUAUAUCAAUGUCAAAUAUUGCAUCAGCCAAGUCUCUCUAACUCAAUCUAUAUGGCUGAGUCUAUAGCUUAUAACCAAUCUCAUUCAUAUCAAAUCCUGCACAUGAAUCAGAACCACCUAAAGUGGUCUGUACGACAAGACUAGAUGUAAAAUAAAUAUGCUCUAGUGCUACGAUCACAUGAAAAUUGUGCGAAUAAUCACGAUUCAGCUAUAAGUCGAAACCACCUAUAGUGGUCUGUAUAACAAGUCUGUGAAUUUAACUUGGAUCCAAGGUGAGCAUAUGGUGUAGGAGGUGAACAUCACGUGAAGGACUGUGCCCUAAAUCUGGGCGGGAGCACUAACACCAUGGUGCAGGUCUAUGAGCUCUCAAUACAUCACAUCAUAUCUCACAUAACUGGAGUAACCUCAUAUCUUUAAUUUAUGAAUUUACCUGGCACUUACCUGUGCAUCCGCAUCACCAAUCAUAAAUAUAUGCAACUACUAAUGCAUAAAUAAAAUAGGCAGAUACUUUGCAUGGCAUUUCAAAACAUAUAAUCAUUCAAAUUCAUUUUCUGGGAAAAAUCUCAAGUACAUAGGUAUAUACGGAAAACCAAAUGCCCACUCACUAAUAUGUUGAAGGGUCGUAGCCCCCAAGCCUCAAUUGAUGGUGCUUGUCUUUAGGAUAGGUCUCACCUAUAUGCAAAAUAACUUAAUAAACGUUAUUUAAAGCAUAUAUACAAAACUAGGAAAUAACUUCUCACACAAAGCUCAAAUGGGGUAUUUGAAUAUACCACCAUGACCUACUCAACCUCAGGAACAUCCCCAUAUUUUUAGAAAAAAAUUUCAUGACCCCACGCGCCCUCACGUGCCGGCCAAGGCACGACUAGACGCGUGGCUCACGUGCAGGCACGUGCCUGGCACAGGGGACGGAAUAGUUAACGCCGUUAGGGAAUAUUCCGUUAAAAACUAGAACAUGCCGUUAAUUAUACCUGACGGCGUCAGAAUAUUUCGUCAACUUUGAUGGAAUAUUCUUCUCAUUCUUCCUUGGUUCGCGGAGUCUGGCGCCGGUGCCGUUGCAAUCGCCAGAAUGGAAAAUCUUAGAACUUCAAUGUCUUCUUCAUUUGUCAACCAAAAUUCAUGAAAUUUGUACCAAAAUGAAGCUUACAAUUAGUAAAACAAAACCUUAGCAAUUUUAAGCCCUAAAAUCCACGGGAUUUCGUCGGAGAAACCUCGAUAAUCCGGCCAAACUUGAAACUUGCCAAACUCAACUUCUCGACGUCCAAAACAUUUCGUCUUUCUUCUCUGAGCUUAGUGAAGGUGUUUUAAGGCUUCCUAUAACCUUAAAAUUCCUUGAAAACUUCACAAUCACGAGUGCAUGAACAGUGUUCCAAAUCGGGGUUUUUGGGUUCUCAGGUUUUCGAGGGUUUCAGGUACUAAAUAUGGUAUAGAACAACUCCUGAGCUUACUAGGAGUUCAAAGGUGCCAACUACAACCUCGAUUCGUGACUGGAAGUGAAGGUUUGAAGGUUGUCCGUACGUUGUACAGAAAAUGGAUGAAAUCCGAGAGAGAGAGAGAGUCAACAUGAGGGUGAUAGUGAGGGUGUGUUUGUCUGUGGUUGAGGUUUGGCCAACCAAACCAAAACAACUAAAACCUUAAGUUCUAAUUGGGUCCAAGUACUUAGGAAAGAAAAUAAUUGGUCCACAACACAACUUAAACCACACAACACCACAAACGUUUAAGGGUAAAUUAGACAUUUCACACCAUCAGAGAAUAUCUUUUGGGAUGGGCUGUGACAACCUACCUCCCUUAAGAAAAUUUCGUCCUUGAAAUUCAAACAAUAAAUACAACCCACUAAUAAUCAUAAAACAGGCAUGGAUACAUUUCUCUCAUCUGGUCCUCUGUCUCCCAGGUGGCUUCCUCCACCGAGUGAUUUCUCCACAAAACCUUCACUAGAUGCACUGUCUUAUUUCUCAUAACCUUAUCUUUCCAAUCCAAAAUGGUCAUUGGCUCAUCAUCAUAAGUUAAAUCUGGAUUAAUUUCCAGCGGUUGAGAAGGUAUCACAUGAGAAGGAUCUGAGAUGUAAUGACUAAGCAUCGAGACAUGAGAAAACAUUGUGCACUUUGGACAACUCAGGAGGCAACUCAAGCCUGUAAGCAACCUCACCGAAUCGCUCGAUGAUCAUAUACGGUCCAAUGUACCUAGGACUGAACUUGCCUUUCUUUCCAAACCGCACUACGCCUCUCCAUGGCGAUAGCUUCAGAAAUACCCAAUCACCUACAUUAUACAUUUGGUCAGUGGCAUGUUUGUCUGCUAGACUUUUCUGUCGAUCCUAGGCCAUUUUCAGGUUAGACUUCAUCACCUGAAUAUUCUGUGUAGUCUCAUCCACGAUCUCAAGGCCAGCCAAAACUCUUUCACCAACCUCCGACCAACACAAGGGUGUACGACAAGAUUUACCAUAUAGUGCCUCAAAUUGUGACAUACCAAUACUUGAAUGAAAGAUAUUGUUAUAUGCAAAUUCCAUUAAAUCCAACUGCUUAUGCCAAGUGUCACCAAAUUGCAAUACUGAAGAUCUCAACAUAUCUUCCAAUGUCUCAAUGGUCCUUUUGGUUUUUUUUUUUUAAUUUUUUUUAAUUUUUAAUAUUGGAGGUAUUUUAACAUCACCUGUAGGUGAGACUUCAAUAAAAACAGUAAAAUUUGGAUAUAUAAAAUUACAUUAUUGCCCGUCAUUUUUUUUUGUAUGAUAGAAAAUUAAUUUAUUUUUUCACCCUCUUUUGGUUGACAAGGAGAAUUUUAUUAAUCAAUAGAGAUAACUUUUAUACUUUUAUUAAUAUGGUCCUUUCGGUUUUUUUUUUUUAAUAUUGGAGGUAUUUUAACAUCACCUAUAGGUGAGACUUCAAUAAAAAAUAGUAAAAUUUGGAUCUGUAAAAUUACAUUAUUGCCCAUCAUUUUUUUUGUAUGAUAAAAAAUUAAUUUGUUUUUUCACCCUAUUUUGGUUGACAAUAAGAAUUUUAUUAAUCAAUAGAGAUAACUUUUAUGCUUUUAUUAAUAUUAAAUUGAAAUCUCUGGGUUCAAAUCAAAUAGAAGGUAUACGUGCGCGGCUGAGAGAGAAUCAGAUGCCGAUGGACCACCACUCUUUCUUUUGAUAUAUAAUGCCUACCCGUCUCUCACAUUUUUCCACAUUCGAGACACGCACAGACGUAUUUUCCUUUUCCUUUUGGACACUUUCUCUGUGAUUUUCUCGGAAGCCAAACACUCUCAACGAUGGCCGAUCAGCUCACCGACGACCAGAUCUCCGAGUUCAAGGAGGCGUUCAGCCUAUUCGACAAGGACGGCGAUGGUCUCGUACUCAGAUCCCUCUCUCUCUCUCUUUCCCUUUUGUUCUUAUUAUGCCUAAUUAAUCUAUGAUAUUUGGAUCUAAAGCUGUUAUUGCAUCAAACCUUAAUCUUUUUCUGGUGAAAAUUUGUGAUUGAUUGAGUAUUUUUCAGCGAUUGAAUUGAUUUAUCAUCCUCCGAGUGCGUUUUGAUCGUGGAGGAUAAGAUCUGUUAGAUUUGAGGUUAAAUGUGUGGAAUUUAAAUAUAUGGAUAGAUUACGAUUCUCAGAUUCGUUUCCUCCAUUGAUAGUGGGUUUUUGAUUCAAUUUCUCUGUUAUGGGUUUGGAGCUGCAAAAUUAAUUCUUCUUGUAUUGGGAUCACAAAGCAAUGUUAUGUAUAUAUGUGUGUGUGUGUGUGUGUGUGUGUGUGUUUGUAUAUGUAUAAAUGCAAAAAUGAUUUAUUCUAUGUUUCUGUCGCCUAUGGAUAGCAUGAAAUGCAAACUUUCAUGAGGGUUUACGUCUAUCAAUAUAUAUGAACAAUUUUUUGUAUGUUCUCAAUCUUUUACUCAUGGUUGGGUGGUUUUGGGCUGGACAACGGUGAAAUGAUUUUGUCUUUUCCUGACUGAUUUUGAUAUUGAAUAUGGAAAUCUGGAUGAAUGUUUUACUUUUUAUUGUUUGCCUUAUACAUGUUGUGUGCAAUAUUGAAAGCGUUGUUUGAUUGAAAUGCGAUAGUUUUUUAGUUCAUGUGUGUGUUUUUCUUUUGUCAGUUUAGGCGGAAUUCCCUCAACAAUCAUAACAGUUAAAAUGUAUUAGAAUUAAAGUUAGGGGGAGGACAGUGGUUUUUUUUGUGCUAGUAUGCCCGGCUACAGUUUCCCACUCAUCAUACAAAAGAAGCAUAGUUAUCUGCCUAAAGCCCUAUUACCAAUUUCUUUGCUGUAUUCCACACUAAUACUUGUUUUGUUAAAUUUUGAUUCAGGUUGCAUCACUACAAAAGAGUUGGGGACUGUCAUGCGUUCACUUGGGCAGAACCCAACUGAAGCCGAGCUUCAGGAUAUGAUCAAUGAGGUUGAUGCUGAUGGGAAUGGGACCAUUGAUUUUCCAGAGUUCCUUAACUUGAUGGCCCGGAAGAUGAAGGACACCGAUUCUGAGGAGGAGCUCAAGGAAGCCUUCCGAGUGUUCGAUAAGGACCAGAAUGGCUUCAUUUCUGCUGCUGAGCUUCGUCAUGUUAUGACAAAUCUAGGCGAGAAGCUGACAGAUGAGGAAGUUGAUGAGAUGAUUCGUGAGGCUGAUGUGGAUGGUGAUGGGCAGAUCAACUAUGAGGAGUUCGUCAAAGUCAUGAUGGCCAAGUGAGGACCAAAACUAAAGUUUAUAAAGAGAUUUUCGUAUCCCAUUAGGACAUGUUCAUUUGGUCUUGCUAGGUUUUGGUUGGUUCACACUGUCUAUUUUCUUGUAUGCAUUAUCUGUGGUACUGUCCCUUUAGUAUCUACUUGUUUGCUGUCUCUCCAUAGUUCCUGUUUGGUAGCGUCUGUUACGGUACGUUGGUAUUUUCAUUCUUCUUUUUGAAUCACGAACCUAAAACAAUUGGUUGAAUCUGAUAUUUCUGCUUAUUGGUGAUUAUCAUUGUUAAUAUUGCAAGUUAUAGUAUCUCUUGUUAAUGUGAUCUUGUCGUGCAUUAGAUAUUGUAGUUCUGUUGUUUAUUAUCUUAAACCAUGAAAAUGAAAUAGGCAGUUUUCGUUUUAAAAUCAUGUUUCCCUUGGUUUGCCCAAGCCUAACCUCCUAAAAGGUGAUUUUCCGUUCACUUUAAGAAGGAAGGUAAGUUGUUGCUUUAUGCCACUGCUAAUUGAACGCCGCUUUUUUGUGUAAAAUGCCCCUCUCGUUAUACGUUUCCCCUUCACCUAGAGUUACACAAGUUUCGGGAGGAUCCUCCAAUUGAUGCUGGUCCAAAGCCCUUAGAAGGCGUUGGGUUUGCCACUCCUAGCAUCUGCAGUGUGGUUUAUGGGUUUUUCAUGCAUCGACGGGGCGGACUGGUUGUGUGUUACUGCUGUUUUUCUUCUUUGUUCUUCUGAAAAAUAGGUUUUCGGGAUAACUAAUUCUUCAUACUGCAUUGGUGGGAGUCUGAAAUGGUAAGGUGGAUCACGGAUGCUUGUUCUGGUCUGAUGAAACUUAUAAAUAGCUUUCUUUUAUUAGACAGUAACUUGUUUUGUUUUAUUUUAGUUUUUAUUUUUUUAUUUAAUUUUUUUUGGGUGGGUUGUGGCGUGACCGGUUGCCACAAAUGUUGUCACUCAUCGUGAACGUGGGAAAGCUAAGAAUCCGAUACCCAUUUCUUUUUUGCUUAUUUUAAAUGAUUCGCUGGGAGUGGAGUUAUUGUCUUCCGGGCCAAGAUAGAAUCCUUGGUGGGAGGGAAUUUACACUAGCAAUGCAAUCCAAGACUUUUUCCUCCACCUGCCAACGAAUUCUUAGUAUAAACCAGCCAUGCGCCUUAAUAGAAUUUCAAACAUAAGUUUGUCUUUUAGAUGCUUGAGAUAUGGGAGAAGGGGGGAAUACCUACAACCGCGCAUGAACGGGCAAAUGCUCUUAAUCAGUUACGAAAAGAUCUCUAGCUUGUUUUUUGGAUGCUUAAAUACUUGAGGAGGGGGAUUACCUAAAACUGUGUGAACGGGUAAAUGCUCUUAAUCUGUUACGAAAAGUUCUUGUAAACGAAAAUAGGGUAAAUUUCCUUUAAUUUUAUUUGUUCAUUCCCAAAAUCAUAUUUGUUAUGAUUAAUUAGUUAUGACUCCUCAUAGUUCUAAAAAUCACUUUCAAACUGAAAAUUAGCUUAUUUUCUAACAAGGGAAGGGCACCAAAAGUUGAAUGGGGGAAGGAGAACAUACAUGCAUGCAUACACACAUACAUACAAAAUGCAAAUAGCAUAAAGCAUUAAGCAUAUACUUGUAGUGGUGUAACAUGUUGAAGCAGCCGAAUAAUAUAAUAAUAUUAAUAAUUAUGUGUUUCUACUAAAUUCCAGAAGAAGCAAAAGUCGAACAAGUGAAAGGACCGACAGCAGCGGACGAGGUCGCACGAAUUCAAAGGAAUACAACAACAAGACCAACGGAGGGAUGGGAAGAUGAGGCGGCGUCGUUUCAAGCAGCGCUUCCAUGAUUGUUCCAUCUUGUAAUUAAAACUCAAUAAUUUCAUGUUAUCCUUCUUAAACAUUCCUCUAAUUCUAAUUAAUCGAAAGGGAAAGUUUCUCGUCUCAUUACUCAUUUAUAUGCUCGAACAAACUCUGAUUGUCCACAGUUGUAGAGUUCGCAAUUUAGCAUUAUCCUAUCUUUCUUGAAUUUACUAUUCAGAUGGAUGCUUUUGGCUUAUGAAAAAAGUUGAGUGCUUUUUUAUAUUAUUAUUUGAUAUGUGUAAUUUCUUUGACAAAGAGCUAAUUGAUCAUUUGAUGAAUUGCGUUCUGAUCAUGACUGGUUGGCUUGUCCAAUCCCACUUCUUUUGUUCUUGGAAGUUUCUCUCUCGUAGGGUGAGAGACCAAUUCGAGGAUUUCGGCAAAUUGGGGAUCCAAAUGUUAAAGCCUCUAUGCAGGAAGUUAAAGAGACGAUGAGGGUGAGCUCAUGCAUUGACAGAGAUUGUAGCCUUGAAGGAUUUCAACAAGAACCUGACAAAGUUAAAAAAAAAUCACUUUUUAUGGGGUGCUCAAGGUAAAGAUGUUGCACAAAUUGUACAAAUAUGUUCCUCAACUAGCUUGGAGAAAUUUAAAAGUCAAUAAUGUUGGAAAUGUGUCCUAAACCCAAUCAUAUGAUGAUAUUUUACGGAUAUUUCACAUAUUAAACUAAAUUUGUUUAAUAUGUGAUCUAAAGAAGUUUGAUUCAUGAGACUGUUCUCUUUUGUACACAUAUCCUAAACGUUCCUGAUUAUAAUUGCCAAUUGGCAUUGACGGUCAAUAAGAUCAAUACGUGCUAUGUCUUCUCUCAGGAGGAGUGACCUCACUAUAAGAAAACAUGGCUUAUGUGACGACAAAUACUCGUUACAAGAGAAAAUGCAUCACAUUUGAUAAUAUGUGACGCAUUUUCGGCAUCAUGGCGAGCGCCACCUAUAAGGCGUCACCGAAAGUACGUGAUGAAUGUUACACUCGUCACCUAUUAAUUGAUUUGAAUACCGGAUUCAGGAGAUACAUGACAAAGUUAGCGUCACAAAAAACAUAAUUCGGUGACGUAUAAAUCCGUCACAUAUCAUAUGUGUAAGUGAGGCUAAAAUCGUCACCUAUUUAUUUGAUAUGUGUGCGUCACAUUUGUCAAAGUUAUACCCAUUUGUUUCUAAUAUGUGAUGAACUAAUUACCACAUAUUCCUUGUUUCAUAAUUUGAAAUUAGAAUUCAUAACAAAUGUAAGGUAGUACUUCAGUAAAUCACAUUUUUAUUAAUAAAGAAUUCAAUCACAUAGGUCGAAAAUAUACACCAAAUGACAUCUCAGAACCUAACAUGAACAUCCACAAAACUAAAAAGUACCAGUCGGACACACUCGGUCUCUCAUCUCAACGUAAUAGCAAUUCAACACCUGUAAACACUGAGGUGCUAACAAAAAAAAAGUCUACCCUGUGCUAUUUGUCUACCCCUAACUUGCAGCCAAAAGACCUUCAAUUGUGCAAUAACAUCUUCAUUCUCCUUUUGCAAAUCCGUUGCGCUCUCAGCUUUUUGUUUUUCAUUUAUGGAGCUCUUAUAAACAUGCUAGACACUUCGUCAAUAUUAUUCAACUAGCACUGCAAGAAAAGUCAAUUACAAAGAUAAAUGAGAAAGAAAGGGAACAUGUAUACUGGAUGACAGAGAUAGGAGGACUUAACAUGUAGGUUCAGGUUUAACCAAAGAAUAGCUAGUCUUAAGGAAUUGCAAGACCAAUCCAAUAGCAAUACCUAGUCAGAGAGCAACAAGGUCGUUACCACCUAUUUUCCUGUAUUUUAUAUAAAUAAUCGUCACAUGCAUAAUUUCAUAGCAGAAAAUCUCAAUUCUUCAACAGCUCUACACAACAUAAAUAAUCGUAGUAGAAAAUCUCAAUUCUUCAACAACUCUACACAACAUAAAUAAGCAUUUAGUAGAACACACAAAGGAAUAAAAUUUAGCUUUCUCAAUUGGAAAACAAACCCAUCCAUUUGUUCUCUUGGUCCCAGAAAAAUGUAGACGAUAAAAAAAAACUUAAGAUUACUCAAAUUGUUAUUCCAUGUGAAGUUCGGAUGAGAAUAAAACAAAAGGUUGGAACCUGGGCUAGCUCUAAAAUUUCAUUAUGGUCCUUUUUCAACUUUGUUGGAACAUAUGUAAGUACAAUGACUAACUUAGUAAAAAAUCAUGCUAGCAUGGUACAUCCUAUUGCAGGGAUAUGAUAUGAUGCAUUGCUUAAGAAAAGAUAUAUAAAAUAUUUUAGUGUUAAUGAUGUGAUUAGUGAUUACAGAUCAUGAAAUACAGUUUGACAUGAGGUCAAAAUAAGGAGUUGUAAGUUUUGACAUGUAUUAAAUGAAUUGCGUAAUGUGGCAUGAAGUCAGUAGAUAAAGUUAUGCCUAUUCAUAUAGCUGCACUAACGAUAGGGGAGCGCAGCUUGGCCAUGAGAGAGAAAGGGGGAGAGAGAGAGAGAGAGAGAGAGAGAGAGAGAGAGAGAGUUGUGUUGAGGGCCCUUUCUUUUUCCAGGUUCUGUGUGGGGUGGGGCUUUCAAGUGCUCCACCCGCCGCUGAUGAUCGUUUAUCAGUUAUCAAACAAUAAUAAUAUUGCAGAAAGAAAGCCACUCAAAAAUUGAAAUCAAACCAGAAAAAUCCCAUUCGAUGACAUUCCCAGAUGCAGUACCAAACAUACCUCUCUAUCUAUCUACGUAUUCUUUUACAUCCCCUCGGUUGUGGGACAACUGACAAGGAUGCUCUGCUCGUACCCCAAAUCUAUAUUCUGUAUUUCAAACCUCAAUCAUCAUCACAGUUGUUCCAGCCUCUUAACUCAACAAACUAAAAUAAAUCAAAACCCUUUCCAAGAAUCAUUGACAAUAUGCUUGUAAGUUAACUUUAAUAUGCACACUAAAAGUACUAACCUUGUGAAGCCAUUAAAUCCAAGCUCAAUGAUGAACCACGAACACAGCAACAAGCAAAGAUCUUCCGCUCCUAGUACACGCCUUAUGCACUCCUAUAUGGGGUAGAGUUUUGUGCUAGAAUGUGUGUAUAAGAGUGGGGACCUAAGCCAUAUAUUUAUAGGUGAGUAUAUUAGGUUUCUUGCCCAUAAAGAAAACACUAAUACAUAUCUUUAACACCUACUAGAAACCAUGACCUAAUAUAGGAAAGAUAUUCCCAAUCAUUAUAAGUUUACUUCACCACCAAGUAAUCCGGGAUUACCAAAUAUUUCUCCCUAUCUUGUAUCCUUAAUCAAAUAGAACUCCUAAAUAGAUGUAAGCCCAAUAAAAGUCUUACAUUCUCCCACUUGGGCGAGACAUCUAUUCAAAAGCUUUCUUUAGGAUCAAGAAUUGAUUUCCUUAUGCAUGCAACUUUGGUAGAUCAUUUGAUAACAAUAUCUUUCCAAACUUAGUGUCAAAUAUAUCGUUAGCUUGUAGAACUAUAGACCAUGAUAUCCAAUAGAGCGAAUACAUACCUCUAUAAUCACAUACAAGCAACAAUAUUCACAUAAAGUACCAACAAGUCAUGGACAAGCAUAUAUAUAUGAUAAGUGAGCUUAAUAGUGAAUAUCACACUUAACAAAUAUGGUCCUCUUUACGAUCACAAAGUGAUCUUCCUUAAUGCUUAAAAAUAUGCCCUUAUGUCAAAAGAACAAUCUUGAUAUAUAGCAAAAUUAGCUAACUGGAAUGUAAUAAUUAUGUAGAAACAAAACAUAUUAUUCUUUAAUGCGUAUCCAUGAAAUCUCAAACAAAAGAAAAAUUUUCAAAACUGAAACAGAUAACUAACAAACAAGAACAACUCAAGUUCCCAUUAUUGUAUGACAUCUUCGAAACUUGAUAGAACUCCCAUGCUUGUGACAUGUUUUAGAAAAUCUACAUUAGAGAUAGCUUUAUUCAAUGGGUCUGCAAUCAUGUCCACGGUAUUGAUAUGAUCAACCAUGGUGACUCCUUCUUGCACCUUCUCUCUAACCUUCAAAAACUUUAUGUCAACAUGCUUGAGUCCUGAAGAUCUCUUGUUGUUUUUGCAAAAGAAAACAGCUCACUUGUUGUCACAAUAUAACUGAAUAGGUCUUGCUAUAUUAUCAACAACCUGCAGACCUGAUAUAAAAUUCCUUAACCAAAUGCCAUGCAUAGUUGCUUCAAAACAUGCCAUGAACUCGGCAUGCAUUGCUGAGAUAGCCACAGUUUUUUGUUUGACACUUUUCCAAGCUAUUGCACCACCUCCAAACAUAAACACAAAACUGGAAGUUGACCUUCAGAGUUUGAUGAAGGAUGAUUUUGUGAAAACAUGUUCAUUUGAGCAACAUCAUAUAGCAUGCAAUUAACAAUUAAAGGCGGAAUCAUGCUUUCAUGCACUCAAAAACAAAACAUUACCCAUGAAAUUCAAAGCCUAGUAGAUUGGUGAACCAAGACUCAACUCAAAAACAAAGUGAGUUGAGAAAUUAUACCUUUGUAGAUUCCUCUUUGCAUAAGCAAAGGCUAAUCACCCAAAGAGAGGGCCUUCAUUCCUUGCAUCUAAAAUCUAUGGAUUUGGAUGGAUGAAAAGGUUUCUCCAAGUUCCCAAAAUUGAGAACCUCUAAGGAUCUUCACCAAGGUUAGAUUGGAGAAGAAAUGAGUGACCUUGGAGUAGUUAGUAUGGCUAGAUACACCCUACAAGGGGCCGGCCUCUUUAGAGAGAAAAGGAGAGACAAGUUCUCACCAAUUUUCUCCAAAAGAAAACCCUUUUUGAAUUUUGGCUAUAAAGUCAUAUUUAUACCUUAAUUCAUUGGAGUGGCAAACUUGUAAAUAAGUCCAAAACCCACUCCAUCUCUAAUAUGGCCGGCCAUUGGGAUAUUUUUGGACUAAUUGGGCCUUUGUGAAUCAUUAUUCAUUAAGUUGUCAUACAACUUAAGUUAAUGGACUUGACGUUCAAAGCCCAUUGGGCCUUAAGGUCCAAAACUAUCCCGAGGUCUUUAACGAACUUAUUUGUUUGAUUAAUUAACAUAUUAAUUAAUCCUUGCCAUAUAUAAUUAAACCAUUUAAUUAUUCUUACUCAUUUCCAUUGUUUCUUCAAUCUCCACCUUACACGGUGUACGAUCCAUUAGGUUCCUUUUAGCGAGGCAUGUGGCGAUUAAAACCAUUUCAAAUCGAUUGUGAAUUUGAAACUUACUUUCAAUUCUCCCUUUAGUGAUUAUACACGUUUAGGGCUUCAACAAACCAUGAGUGACACCUAGCAGCAUAUCAUGGUUACCCAAGCUAAUCAGAAGAAGUGGAGAACCUAUUCAGUUUAGGACUACAAAUGCAAUACGGUCUUUCUCUAAUACAAUACUCUUGACCACAUUGUUUGGUUUGAUAGUUUAUUUAUUCAUGUCUACUAUCCAAUGUGAUUCGUGUGCUUAUAUGAUUACCUUGAAUGUGAUUUGGAACGACUUCCUAAAUCUCAUUCAUACUCUGGCGUUAGAGAUUCUAAAUCAUAUCAUAGAGUAUUCUCCCUCAAACGGUUUGAAGGUUAGAGAUCCCUUGUUGCGCGUUCACUUGUCUCCAUGGGUAAGUGGCUUAACCCCAACGAUGCCGUGGACACCCCGAUGGGGUGACUUUGACAUAAUCAAAGAUCAAGGACUUAACCACAAGACAACUGUGAUGCCUCAAGUCAAAGGACUACUUUGCAUUAUCCCAACCAUGAGUUCUCAUGUGACAUGAAUAUGAGAACUCUUCGUUGAUCGUGUUUAGUGAACUCAUUCUCUAUUGAGCACCUAUGUACUUGUCUUGAUGUCACACACACCAAUGACUCGAGACUAGUCACUCUCCCUGAGAGAAGACACAGGAUGUACUGAUCUUAACGGACUGUCAAUGCCCAAUGGGCAAUCCUAUGAUCAGGAACGUUUAGGAUGUGUCUACGAAAGAAUGGUCUCAUGAAUCUAACUUCUUUAGAUCGUAUUCUUCCAAUCACAUAUUCCUUGGACUUAUCGUUUAAGCAUAUAACAUUUAUAUGAGACGGCUCAAACAAUAAUCUUUGCCCUUUAUAUUUAAACUAGAUUAGUUUAACAUGUGAAAUGUCCGUAAAGUAUCAUCACAUGAUUGGUUUUAGGGCACAUUUCCAACAUUUGAGUCAUCACAAGGCAUGGUAAGUACUGGCGUUGUCUUACUUAUCCUAGAAAUUGGUUCACAUGUUAAUCGCAAUUAACAAGUACUACUCUAGAACAUAUGUAGGUCCUCAUUCAACAAGGGCAGACAUACACAUAUUCAUAGCAUUUGAAUCCUAGAUAUUCUUACUAAGUAUGCAUCCAUAGAAAACAUAUAAAGAAUUCAUUACUGACAUAAGUAGUAAACCAAUUUUCAUCCAUUCAUAAAAGCAAUUCAACGAAAUGUCAUAACAAACUUGCAAUUAUAUUCGGGGCUUCAAAACAGUCCCUAACUACUAAAAAUUUAGUUACACAUAAUUCUCAAAUUAAACCAAAAGUAAAACAUGGGUUUGAGAAGAUAAAACCAAGAUAAAUCGAGUGAAGCCUCUUCUUCUUUCUUCCUUCCUUGCUCUCUGCCAUGCCUCUUCUCUGAUUCUUCCUUGAUUUUCUUUCUUUUGUUGUGUGUUUUUUUUCUCUUCUCUACCGUGCCUUAUGUUGCUGUCUUAUAUGAUUGUUUUUCUUUGCCAAAGCCACAAAAACCAAGUGGAAGACAAGCUAAUUCCAUAUUCUCCACCCAUUUGUGUUCAUGAUUGCUGUUGGCAUUUUUUUCAAAAGGAAAAGUUCCACUUUUUUCCUUUGUUUUCUGUUGCAUCGUUGGCUGCCAACUAUUUCCACUUAAUCCUCUUUUCUAGCUGUGCAUUUCCACUUGCUCCAAAGGAAAAUGAGUACAAUCAUAACCCCAUUUGCUGCUGAAUGUUGAUGACAAAGAAAAACACAAAACAAGUGCCUUUACUUUCUCAUUUUAUUAGCCAAAUCUACCCUUUCAGUGUUACAAUGCCCAUAACUUCUUCUAGAAAAAUGAUAUUAACAAUCCAUGAAUUGCUCCAGAAAAUAGACAUCCGUAGCUUUCCAAGCAUAUAGGCUCAUUCUCUCAUUCAUUCUGAGCUGUUCGCAACAUGCUUCCAAAGUCAGCUAAUAUGCACAGGCAGUUUUGACCAAUUUAUUACUUAAUAUCCCACUUGUGCUACUUUUCUUUUCUUUGCUUGACAAAUCACACAAAACACAAAAACAAAGUAAAUAGCUAAAAAAAUAUAAGGAACUAACUAAGAAAAGACAAGUGGAUUUGAUGUAAAAUAUAUAUAAAUAUGAGCUUAUCAAGUGACUAACCCUACUGAGUUGUAACACCUCGAAAACAUAAAUUAUGAUGGAUGCUUUGAAUCCUUAGAUACGGAUCUAAUGCCUUCUUGUUAAACUUGUAUAAAGGCGAAAUGUUUGAAUAUUUAUUCUUUUGGAAAGAAGAAAGAGUCACAUUAUUGUGGCUAUUUCACUUAGAUGUUAGUGGCACAUGUCAACAACAUAAUACUACUCAUGUUGUAUAACAUUCAUCGAAUUUGGAAUGUAUUUGGAUUGCUUUGGCAUUCAUGGGAGCAAACGAGCAUGCGUUUGACACCCUUUCGAACUUAAGCAAAUAAAUACAUUUAAUACACUACUAGGACAAUAGGAAUGAGUAAUCAAAAUAUUUAAAUCUUAUUCAAUGUCAUAAGUACAAAGUUUUCCUAUUUGGAGUGUACUUGGACUAGUUUCAGUAUUCACGGGAACAAACGAGUGUUCGUUUGACACCGUUUGGAACUUAAACAAAUAAACACAUAUAAUACGCCACUAGGACAAUAAGAAUGAGUACACAAAAAACAAAAUCUUAUUUGGUGUGUAUUUGAAUUAUUUUUGGCAUUCAUGGGUGCAAACGAGUGUGCGUUUGACAUCAUUUGGAACUUAAGACAAUUAAAACAUAUAAUACACUACAAGGAUAAUAAGAAGGUUUUUUUUUUUUAGCCAAAAUGUUCCCUGAGAUUUGCAUAACUCCUCACUUUGGUCCUUGAGAUUUGAAAUAAAUAGAAGUGGUCCUUGAGUUUGUGCACCAUUAAUCAUUUUGGUCCUUCCAUGAAAAAAUAUAUUAUAUAAGGACCAAAAUGAUAAAAAUAUCUGAAUUUAAUAAACAAUGGGCCAAAAGAUUUCACAAAAAUUAAGGGUAUUUUUGUCAUUUUAGCCUUAUUUAAUGGAGAUUUUUCAUGGAAGGACCAAAAUGAUUGAUGGUGGACAAACUCAGGGACUACUUCUAUUGAUUUCAAAUCUCAGGGACCAAAGUGGGAGUUAUGCAAAUCUCAAGGACCAUUUUGGCUAAAGUACAUAGUUUUCUAUUUGGAGUGUAUUUGGACUCUUUCCAGCAUUCAUGGGAACAAAUGAGUGUGUGUUUGACACCCUUUGGAACCUAAGAAAUAAAUACAUAUAAUAGGAUACUAGGAUAAGAAGAAUGAGUACUCAACAAAUUAAAAUCUUAUUCGGUGUCAAAGGUACACAGUUUUUUAUUUGUAGUGUAUUUGGACUAGUUUUGGUAUUCAUGGGAACAAACAAGCAUGUGUUUGACACCCUUUUGAACUUAAGCAAAUAAACACAUAUAAUAUAUUACUAGGACCAUAAGAAUGAGUACUCAAAAGAUGAAAAUCUUAUUCGGUGUCUAAAGUACACAAUUUUCCUAUUUGGAGUGUAUUUGGACUAGUUUCCGAAUUCAAAGGAUCAAACAAGCAUGCGUUUGACACUCUUUCGAACUUAAUCAAAUAAGCACAUAAAAUAUGGUACUAGAGCUAUAAGAAUGGCUACUCAAAAGAUUAAAAUAUUUUCCGGUGUAAAAAAUACACGAUUUUUCUAUUUGCUGUGUAUUUGGACUACUUUUGGUAUUCAUGGGAACAAAUGAGCAUGCGUUUGACACCGUUGGGAUUUAAGAAAAUAGUGAUAGAAGCAUAUUUAUGCGACUUAGUUAGCUUGUUUUCUUGCAUUUAUGUUGUUAGUUCCUAGUUAUUUAUGUAUUUUAAGCUAUUUUCGUGUGUUUAUAGGUCCAAAGGGCUAAAGUAGCAAGAAAGUGCAUUUUGGAGCAUUUUUGGGUCAAUAAUGGAUGGCACAUGCUUGGAGCAAGGAGGAGGGACGAAAUUGAAGACCAAAGGAGGCUAGGAAUGAGCAAAGAGAUGAAGGAAAUAAAUUCAAGACAAAAGAAGAAAAGGAAACCCAGCAAUAGAGAAGGAGGGUUCCCAAAUAUAUUAGGACAUUUAAUGUAAGGUUCUAGAAGACCUAAUCCCAGCCACAAAGGGAUGUCGCACCACCCUUCCCUUUCCCUUUCCCUUGCCAUGCAAGGCAUCCACUUUUCCUUCCUUGCCGCAUUCCCUUUUGCCUUUCCUUCCCUUUUCCUUGUUGCACAUACCCUUUCCUCUUUCCUAAACCCUUGCCGUAUAUCCCCUUUCCCUUUUUCCUUGGAUUCUGAUUUGACUUAGCCUUUUUUCUUGUGGAUUUAGAGUUAAAAUCCUUCGACAAUAAUGAAAACAUUAUUUUUUCUUUCCCUUUAUUUUCUGCCACACCCUAGCCUUAAUUCCCUAGGGUUUUGACAUACUUUGCUAUAUAUUUAAGUGUGUGCCGUAGCCUUCCAUCAUUCAUUCACCACCAUUCAUACUUUCAGCCAUUCUUCCAUACAAUUCAUCACUCAAACCUUCACCCACACCUUGUGCCGCAGCAAAGAAGAAGAAGGAGGACCCUUGGACGUGCUUGCCAUUCAAGUUGGAUUGCUAGAACAUUCUUAGGUGUAAUCCAUCUUUUGUUUUCAAUGUUUAAGUUUAAUUAUCUUUGUUUUGCUGUGAACAUGAGGUGCUAAACUCGUUUUAGCUAGAGGAGACUUUGAAACCAUGAUUAUAUAUGCAAUAUGAGUUGGUUAUUUUCAGUUAUAAUUUUGUGAAUUGUGAAUGCAAUUUACUUCACUGUUUGAUUCAGAACUUAUUCUUGUAUGUUGAUUAAAGAGGCUUAUUUAAUUUGCAUGCAUGAAUUUGAUGCUAGGAUAUAAGGGAGUUUCACAAAAUCGUUACAAACUUAUAUUCACAAGUAGUGAAGGUCGCUGGUCACGAUCGUGUUAAGUUAAAUUCCUGGCAUGAGUAUCAUGAUGUCAUAGUUACGAAUGCCUUGUCAAUGCUUAUGAUUUUCACUGAGCUUAAUGAUCUUUGCUUGUGUCUCUAUUAUGCAAUUUAUGUAAGGAACUUGGGAAGAAUAAUUUGGUUGCCGAUGCAUUGUUCGUCCAAUUCAAUGACUUAAGGAAAAUCUGAGGGUUAAUUAGUGAUGACACGGUUAAUCUGAGGCAUUGUCAUUCAUGGUUUAUUGAAAGAGUAAUUGGAAAUCAAUUCGUACGAAAAUGUGUCAUGUGUGGAAAAGGACCCUCUAGCUAACCCAUCAUCCAUUAAUUCACCGAAUUUUGUCCAAACUUUGUUCAAGUUUACAAUCUACUUGUUUUUACUUUAAUCUCGUCCAAAACCCAAUCCCCCUUUACUUGGUCGUGUCUUUUAGUUAGAAUCUGUCCAAUUUUGUGUCUUUUAGUAUUUUGAGUCAAGUUAAAGUUAGAAUUCAUUCAAAGUAAUCCCUAGUGUCUAGUUUGGGUCAGUUUCAUUGUUUUGUGCUGUUUUGAGUCAUUCUAGUUUGUUUUGAGUCUUUAGAAUCUAGUUAAGUGUUUUCAGCCUAGUUUUGUGUUUUUAAGUUAGUUUUAAGUAGAUUAGCAAUCCCUCCUAAUCCCCGGCCUAGAACAAUCCUUACUUACAUCUUUACUAGUAUUGUUAAUAAGAGGGUUUACUUUGAGUGCUAGUUUAUAUCACAUCAAGUACCUCACUAACAUGCAUAUUUGAUUGCUGGAAAGGUAAAGUCAAAGUUAGGAAUGUAAGGCAUAGUUAAGGUUUGAUUCUUAUUAUCUUAUUUCAAAAGUGCUCUAAUUGUUGUUUUGUAGGUUAUUUAGGACGUUUAUGGGUACCGUCACUGUUAAACCCUUAGGAGACUCAACUCCUCCUACUAGGGAUGCCUAGAGGUUUAAAGGCUUGAUGCAUAAGCUGAAUGCAUUCGUCUCACCAACGGAAUUGGUCUUAGAUUAACUUAUGUUUAUCUUUUGUGUUGCUUUAGUAUCUUUUAGUUUUGGUUUGCUCCAACGGAAUUGGAGCUCACUGUAAAAGCACUAUCUAUGACAGAAAUAGUCCCUUAUAAAGUUCGUGUCAUAAGGCUCGCAAUGCGCACCCUGUAUUUCUUCUUCCAACGUUCAUCCUUUCCACAAUGAAAGCAUAUUCCUUUGGAUUUUAUUGCCUUCUUCUUAUGUAACGUUUUCCUUGUGAUUGCAUUCUCACUCCCACUGUCCCUUUUGAAACCUUGUUCAAACUUAUAGCACAUGUCAAUCAUCUCGGUAAAAGUAUGAUCGAAUCUAUUCACUUUAUAGUUUACAAUAAACUUAGUGAAAUCAUUCGAGAGAGAUGCAAGGAAAAAGUCUUGGGCCAUUUUCCCAUUGAUGGAAGUUCCUAAACUCUCAAGAUCUUGAAAGAUCCUUUCCAUCUUUUGUCCAUGUUUAUGAACCGAUGUCCCCUUUGCCAUUUUGUCAUUCAAUAGACUACAAACAUUUGAGAAUCGUACAUUACUAGUCUCAAUGUCAUGCAUCUUAUGCAAACUUUCAACCAUGGCACAAGAAGUGUCCAUAUGCUUAUGUAGCUUCAUAAGCUCCUCACUAAGUGAAGUGAGGAUUAAGCAUUUAGCUUGUAAGUCAUCCUCAUAGUGUCUAUCAUAAUUUUGACACUCCUCCUUUGAAGCUAGUUUCGUAGGAGGUACAUGAGGAGGGGAUUGCUUAAGCACAUACAAUAUGUCUUUCACCUUUGAGACAUUCUCAAUGUGGCGAUACCAAGCAAGGAAACGUUGGCCCCUAAGGCCCUUUUUGUCAAGUAGAAUGGUGGGUGUAAUUUUAGGCAUGUCGUUAACUACAUAACAUAAUAGAAAUCGUAUUAGAUUGUUGAUUUUAAAACUACUUGAUUGGGUCUUAAAUCAAAUAGUACCACCCACUAUUUUUGUCAAAUUCCACAUCCCUUAAUGGAAUUCGAGAGUUAUGUUGAACUCUUAGCGGGGUAUGGGAGGCUCACCAUUACCAAGCCCACCUCACGAUGAUACGAUGUUGGUUAGCAAAAAUAAUGAUAAGAGAAUAACGCUUUAGUCAUUUACAACUCUUCUAAUUACUCAUCUUGUUUGGCCUCUAGAGAAUGAUGCCUCACAAUGAUAUGAUGUUGGCACCAUUGCACUUAGUUAAGUUAUUCCCACCAUGCUAGUUCGUGUAGGGGUUCAAGAAUAGCCUCACAAUGAUAUGAUGUCGGCCAUCCUUGUUGCCUACCUCACCACAUCAUGUAUGUACAUAUGGACUCCUCCUGAAUGUAAGCAUAUACAUUGAACUUCCCCAUGAUAGGGUGAAGCCGGUGUAGGAGUCACAAUGAUUGGAGCCCACCAUGGUGGAAGGCCUACGAAGAGAUGUUCAAAGCAUCUCUCGCUUAUCAACUUAAUAUUCGUUUUGUUGAGGGAGUUGUGUUGGGCUACAUCAAUUUUAUUUUAAUCUUAUUAAAAGAACUUGGGCCUAUCAUAACCAUUGGUCCAAGUUAAUAUGAAUUAGUAGUAUAUAAUACUCCCACUAUUUCGAUGAAACAAGCGAGACUAUAUGGAACUACUAACGAAUGCAUUGCAUCUUCAUAUGGACUAUAUAGUCAUAUUGGGUCUUAGGAUGAUUAUGAACCAACACGAGCCUUGUGUUGGACCUUGGGUUUAAGGUAGAUAGUUGUUGAUUUUAGUUACGCGUUUAAUCUAAUUAAACCGUUAUUUCCUAUUGGGCGUUGGACCCAACUAUUCCAAUUUGCAUACAUAUAAACAAAAAGGAAUACAUGAAAUAAAGAGAAGGGCUUAUGCCCUUUUACAACAAAUUAGAAGGACUUAUGUCCUUUUACAACAAAUUUGAACUAAUCAAAUUACAUUCAAAUCUAAACUACUUAACCCAAACAUUCACAAUGUAAAGCGGCCAAUCACAUAGCUCAAUUAUCGAGGCCUUUGGUUCAUAAUCACCCUUUUCUUAAUCAAUCAAAUUAACUAAGAAAGCAACUUAAACAAUUGGUUUUCGGAUUCAUAGAAUUGAUUUAAAUGGAACUAAAUGAAAUGAAAAUCCAAUUCUCAUUAAAGAGACAAAACCAUUUUGUUCUCAUCAUCUUUUGGGCCGAAAAACAAUGACCACAACAAUUGGGCCAUAAGGUUAAAACAUAAACUUUUGGGGUCACUUUGUAAAAACACAAGAGUCCACAACUUCAUGUAAUUACAACUAGAACCCAAAAAUUUCAACAAUAGCAAAAACUUCAUUAAAGGAGCAAAACAAUUUGUCCUUUAGCGUUUUUAGGCCUUAACGAAAAAACGUAAACUUUUGGGCCAAAGUACAAAUACACAAAAGUAUCAAAACUUUAUGUAAUUGCAUAAAAGGCCCCAAAAUUACACCCAUUAAGGGGUGGCCGGUUUUGGUAGUGAAAAAGGAGGGGGGAAAAGGUUUUGGUGAAAAAUUCAAAAUUUGAAAGUGUUUUGUGCAAGUGGAUAGGUAGGUGAGGAAAAGUUGAUUGGUAUAGGUUGUAAGAAAAUGUUUUGUCAAACAAUAAAGACAUAAAUCAUCCAUCACCAAUCAUCCAUCACCAAUUAAUUAUAACCAAAACUUUAUGAAAAACACCAAACAUUUUGAAUCAAAACUCCAAACCUUUUUGUUUUUGGUAAGAACAUCAAGAAUAUUGAAGAACACACAUGAAUACUCAUAAGACCUCCAUGAAUGUUUUCACACAAUAAAACUCAAAUUUUCACUACAAAAAAGAGGGUUAACAUCCUAGGGUACUUAGGGGGUUCCAAAAGUCACUUUAAAACUCUUUUAACAAGACAAACAUGAACCCAAAAAUCCACCCUUUGGAUUUGGCCGAAUUUCCCAACAUACAUGGCACCAAAUUUUAGUUCCAAUAUUCAUGCUUAAAUGAACUACAUCUACAACAUUUGAGAUGCUAAAUUUUCAAGCAAAAUUUAUAUUCAAAAGCAAGAACAAAGCUUGUAACAUUUACAACAUUUAAAUCACAAACCAUGAAAACACAAAACCCAAAAGGAUUCACCAUAAACUAGACCUAGGCUCUUGAUACCACUUGAAGGAAAAAUUCUAUCCUAGCUAAGAACAUGUGAGAAUAUUUGAACACAUAUGCAAACUAUUAACACAUUAAAGUAGGCAUGCAUUAAAAAACAAUUCUAAAACCCAUGACUUUCAAAGCCUAGUGAAUGGUGAACCACAAGACUCUUUAACAACAUUAAAGAGAAAGAAGGUUUUAGAGAUUCAUUACCCUUGAAACUCAUCCUUGUUUACACAAGGGAUUCGCCCAAGUGGAGGACCUUCAAGUCACCUCCUAGCUCCUUGGAUCUUCCUUGUGAUUUUCUUCCUUUUGAUGCUCCUUUGCUCCUUGAGGAUGUGAGGAAAGGAUCUCCAAAAACACCAAAGAUUUGGUGUCUCUAAGUCUCCACACCAAGGAUGAGGUGUGAAGAUGAAAUGGAUGACUUAGAGAAGAAAAGAUUGCUAGCUAUAUCUUCUCUAAGUGGCCGGCCUCCUUUGGAGAAAAAGAGAGAAAAUGUUUCUCAUCUUUGCCUCAAGAAAACCCUAAUGAGGUAAAAACUAUAAAGAUGCAUUUAUAUCUCUUUUCUUAGGUGAGUGGCAAACUUGCAAUUAAGCAAAACUUACCACUCCCUCACUAUGACCGGCCUCUUUUAAGUGAUUGGGCUAUUUGCCCAUAUUUGUUUUAGUUGUCAUACAACUUAAACAUAAUGGGCCUAGUGGACCAAACCCUUUUGGACCCCGAAGCCCAAAACUAACUUAAAAGCCCAAUACGAACCUUUCGUAUAAUUAAUUAACUAAUUAAUUAACCUUGACCAUAUUUCAAUUAAACCAUUUAAUUGCUUAUCCAUUUCAUUUAUAUUUCUUCACUUUCAUGCUUACUCGGUGUACGAUCCAUUAGGUUCCAAUUAGCGAGGCAGUGGGGGAUUGUUACUCUUAACGAUCGAUUGUGAAUUGAAACUACAUUUCAAUUCUCCCUUUGAUUAAGAUUAGUGUUUGCUAAUCUUCAGGGCUUCCACAAACCAUGAGUGACACCUAGCAGCAUGUCAUGGAUAACCAAGCUAAAUAGAAUUGGUUGGAGAACCUAUCCAGUUACAAUUACAAUGCAAUACGUGAAGGAUGAUUUUGUGAAAACAUGUUCAUUUGAAUAACAUCUAUAGCAUGCAUUUAACAAUUAAAAGGCGGAAUCAUGCUUGCAUGCAUUCAAAAACAAAACAUUACCCAUGAAAUUCAAAGCCUAGUAGAUUGGUGAACCAAGACUCAACUUAAAUCGAAGUGAGUUGAGAAAUUAUACCUUUGUAGAUUCCUCUUUGCAUAAGCAAAGGCUAAUCACCCAAAGAGGGGGCCUUCAUUCCUUGCAUCUUAGAUCUAUGGAUUUGGAUGGAUGAAAUGGUUCUCCAAGUUCCCAAAAUUGAGAACCUCUAAGUCUCCACACCAAGGUAAGAUUGAUGAAGAAAUGAGUGACCUUGGAGGAGAAAGAUUACUAGCUAAUCCCUCCAAGGGGGCCGGCCUCUUUAGAGAGAAAGGGAGAGAUAUGUUCUCUCCAAUUUUCUCGAAAAGAACCCUUAAUGAAUUUUAGGCUAUAAAGUUCUUUAUAGUCACUUCUUUAAAUGACCUAAAGAACCAAAAACCCUAAUUCAACACACAUGGCCGGCCACAUAAGGGAUUUGGGCUUUUGGGCCUUUGUGAAUCUUUAUUCAUUAAAUUGUCAUACAACUUAAGUCAAUGGGCUUGACGUUCGAAGCCCAUUGGGCCUUAAGGUCCAAAACUAUCCCGAGGUCUUUAACGAACUUAUUCGUUUGAUUAAUUAACAUAUUAAUUAAUCCUUGCCAUAAAUAAUUAAACCAUUUAAUUAUUCUUACUCAUCUCCAUUGUUUCUUCAAUCUCCACCUUACACGGUGUACGAUCCAUUAGGUUCCUUUUAGCGAGGCAGUGGGCGAUUAAAACUCUUUCAAAUCGAUUGUGAAUUGAAACUUACUUUCAAUUCUCCCUUUAGUGUUUAUACACGUUUAGGGCUUCCACAAACCAAGAGUGACACCUAGCAGCAUAUCAUGGUUACCCAAGCUAAUCAGAAGAGGUAGAGAACCUAUUCAGUUUAGGAUUACAAAUGCAAUACGGUCUUUCUCUAAUACAAUACUCUUGACCACAUUGUUUGGUUUGAUAGUUUAUUCAUGUCUACUAUCCAAUGUGAUUCGUGUGCUUAUAUGAUUACCUUGAUUGUGAUUUGGAACGACUUUCCUAAAUCUCAUUCAUACUCUGGCCAGAGAUUCUAAAUCAUAUGAUAGAGUAUUCUCCCCCAAACGGUUUGAAGGUUAGAUCCCUUGUUGCGCAUUCACUUGCCUCCAUAGCUAAGUGGCUUAACCCCAACUAUGCCGUGGACACCCUCCUGAUGGAGUGACUUUUGACAUAAUCAAAGAUCAAGGACUUAACCACAAGAUAACUAUGAUGCCUCAGGUCAAAGGACUACUUUGCAUCAUCCCAACCAUGAGUUCUCAUGUGACAUGAAUAUGAGAACUCUUCGUUGAUCGUGUUCAGUGAACUCAUUCUCUAUUGAGCACCUACGUACUUGUCUUGAUGUCACACACACCAAUGACUCGAGACUAGUCACUCUACCUGAGAGAAGUCACAGCACGUACUGAUCUUAACGGACUGUCAAUGCCCAAUUGGCAAUCCUAUGAUCAGGAACGUUUAAGAUGUGUCUACGAAAGAAUGGUCUCAUGAAUCUAACUUCUUUAGAUUGCAUUCUCCCAAUCACAUAUUCCUUGGACUUAUCGUUUAAGCAUAUAACAUUUAUAUGAGACGGCUCAAACAAUAAUCUUUGCCCUUGAUAUUAAACUAGAUUAGUUUAACAUGUGAAAUAUCCGUAAAGUAUCAUCAUAUGAUUGGUUUUAGGGCACAUUUCCAACAAUCUCCCACUUGCACUAGAGCCAAUCAGCUUGGUCAUCAGUGAUGAUACCUCUUUUGUAGUCAUUUCAUAAAUGGCUGAAUAGUAGGCCUAGACAAUGGAUAUCUAUAUGUUAUCCAUAUAAGCAACCUUGAGAAUAACGACGUCACCAUUAUACAUGAUUCUCAAUCAUGUGGUUCAGUCUCUCAUUUGAGUUCGUAUCUUGAUGAGACCUUGAUUCCCUGGCUUGAGCUAUCGCCCCAUUAAUGUCAUAGUGUCAAUACACUAGAUACACUUUCUGGUUGGAACCGAAUAGAGAGUUCAUAAAUGAACUUUCCCAUCCAAACAACAUUGUUGUAAGCUUCUAUAUGGCAAUAUAUUUUGCAUUCAUAAUGGAACACACUAAAGUCAUUACUUUUAAUGUUUCCAUCCAAAUAUCUCUUUAGUCAUAAUAAAGAGAUAUCUGAUUAUCUCUUCAUUCAUAAUGAAGAAACAUCCAAUGAUGGAUUAGAUUCAUAAUCUAAUACAUUUACGCUUCCUUUACGUUACUCUAAUUCUUCCUCAUUCUUUGAGGAAUCUAUCCUUUAGUAUUUCUUAAAUACUUAAGGACUCACUUGACAGUUGCCAUGGUUCUGAUCAUGGGCUUGCACUGAUAUCGUCUUGUACCGUUCUAGGUACAACUCAUAUCAAUGUUUUUCAUACAAUAUGAAAUACAUAAAUCCCUUUAUGCGUAUGCAUAAAGGAUUCUAUUUACGCAUUAUUUCUUUGGGAGUCAAAGAGUACGUUCUCUUUGAGAAGAGCAACUUCUUAGUCUCACUAGAGUUGUCCUUCUAAUUGAAGUUUAUCAUCAUAUGAGAAACUUCCUAGCAUCUAUUGUCUAUUAUUAGGGAUUGAUAUAAUCCAAUUAUAUCAUGAAAUAUAUCAUUAUAGAUUUCCAUCCCAUGUAUAUAGACUAUAUCUCCCAUAUACAUCUAUCUUCAUAAUGUUUCAAAGUCAUAACUUUAAAGAAGAAGUAUUCUUUUCAUUUCCAAAAUUAAUAUAUCAAAUAUAUAUUAUAUUUAGGAAUAUGAUUAACUCCCACUAAUCUUUUGUAAACUUAGUAAACAAAAGAUUCAUUUACAUCUUUAUGAGAAAUCAAACAAUUUGACAUUUCUCAUAAGAUGCGUAUAGCUCCCACUAGCUUGCUAAGAUUCAUGAUGGAUGGAUCUCUACAACUUACAUGUCUUGUGAUUUAUAGUUUUAGACAUAUAUUAUCAAGACUAUCUUAAUAAUGGUUUCGGAAACCCAUAUUAUGUCCAAACAUUGAAUCACCAUUUAGUUGUAGCUAGCUAUCUUCGAAUUAAUUGAAACCAAGACUACGUCAAAAAUGGUUUCUUCAAAGUCAACCAUCCUUUUGAUUGUAGUUACCUUAAGCUACCAAUUAGCUUAUGAAGGUUUCAUUAUUUCGGGUCAUAUGGUACUUUACCAUUUCCUUGAGUAUAUAUCAUAUAUACACUCAAUGUAGUCAUAAGGAUUUUCAUUCUUAUUUCUUUCGAUUUAAAAGGUGCAACUCUAUGACAUAGUCAUAAAGUUCAAACCAUUCAACUGAGACGGUUUUUAAAUCCUUCUCGACUACCUUGGAGCUUUUGGUAUAGGAACUAGGUUGUUUAUAUUUGUUGAUUAUUUUUCUUGUCUCUCAAAGAACCCAUUCUUUGAGUUCUAUCUCUCGUUCAUUUGCUUUUAGGCAAAUCACAUUGUAGGAUUACAAUGAACUACCCAACAAAACAACAUUUGUUAAAUGGUUUAUAGAAGCGAUAUCCAAAAGUUAAUUUAAGGAUAUCCCACAAGAUUGUUAUCAAACAAAUAUUGCUUAUUAGCUCACAACCCCAAAUCUUAACAUGCUUAAGAUUUGUCUUUCUUUCCAACAACAUCUUAUGGAGUCAUGAAAAAUUUGGAAGAUCUUCUAAUUGACAAUCAUAUUGUUUUUAGAAAUAUAUAUCCUAUAUAUGGGUAAUAGAUAACAUCUAACGAACUAAAUCUUAUUUGAGUUCGUUCUUCUCCUUAAUGGAGAAAUUUAUUAUCUUAUGAUGCUUCUUUCCUUGAUAUCUUUCAAGGAGACUCAUCUAAAGUGUUUCUUUUCCUUGGAUCAAAUCUAAGGAGGUAAAUACUUUAGACGUCUUACUCAUCAACUUACAUUUCUUGAAUUCUUUGAAACCUUUUGCAAAGUAUUCGGAUUUGUGUUUAUUCAAAAUAAACUAUAGUCCAACCGAGAGUGAUCUUCGGUGAAUGUCAUACAACAUGAGUAGUAUUAUGUUUGUGGACAAGUGCCACUAACAUCUAAGUGAAUUAACCUAACAACUUUGUGAUUCUUUCUUCUUUCAAAAAGAAUAAAGAUUCGAACAUUUCGCCUCUAUACAAUUUUAACAAGAAGGUAUUGGAUCCGGAUCUAACGAUCCAAAGCAUCCAUCUAUGACCAACUCGUAAUUUAUGUUUUAGAGGUAUCACAACUUAGUUGGGAUUAGUCACUACCUUGCAACCUUUUGGGUUUUAAGCAUCAUUUUAUUCUAAACAGUUAACAAUACCAUAUCAUCUCUACUAUAGAGACAAUCAAUUAGAUUACUAUAAUCCAAUCAUUGAUUAAUAAAGAACAAUGUUUUGUCAAACAAAACAUUCAUCCAUCUCUACUAUAGUGACGGAAUUAAGUUCCUUAAAAUUGGAAUGUAAAGACAAUCUUUGGUUUUUCCAAUUUCUUUGGUAGUUCAUAUGAGGAAGUAAGUACUAUCUGCUUUCGCAGAGAUCUAUAUUUUAUUCACGUUCCGAAUGUGAAGCACCUUUUCUUCUCUCAUAUAUCUUCUACUUCUUAUUAGUCACACUUUUACAACGAUUGUAAAACAUAGUUACUAAUACGGAAUCAAGCAUUCAAGUAGAAGAACCAACUGUUUUGAACUAUUCAAGAACAAUUUACAACACCUUUGAAAGGUGUGUUCUUGACACUUGCAAGACAUUUCUUGCAAAUACCCCUUCCAAUGUCCAUCCUUUCAUAAAGAAAGUUUGUUCCCUUGGAGUUAAUUUAUCUUCUUCAUUUGACUUCUCCUUUGACUACAAUAGUCAUGGUCCCUAAACUCCCACUAUCUCUCUUGAAACUUAUUUCAAUUGUGUUAUACACAUCAAACAUUUUGGGGAGUAUGUGUUUAUUGUUCACCAUAUAGUUUACAAUAAACUUAGUGAACCAUUAGGAUAGGGACAUAAAGGUGAAGUCCUUGCCUAGUUUCCGUCUCGUUAAGUGGUUUAUCACUUCAACACUCAAUGAUUCAAAAUCAUCAUAAGUCCAUGUUUGAUGGACUAUUUUUGUCAACCAACCAUUAUGUUCUAAACAUAAUUACAACAAUUUGUAAGUGAAGAAUCAUGGCACAUUAAGUGUCCAUGCCUUUGUGCUUUCUUCUAAAGUUCCUUGUUCAUGUAACAAAGAAACAAGCACUAAUGUUUGCAUUGAUUAAGGGUUGUUCAAAGCAACUCUUAUUUCUUCAUACAACAAAUUGUAAUUGAAGAAUUAUGACAUUUAAAAGUGUUGUCCUCUUUAUGAUAGACUUUAUCUAACAUGUUCUUCCAAUGAUACAUUAUCAAUAGGAAGAUUGUGAGGAUGAGACUACUUAGGUACAUUUACAAGCCAUUUAAAGACAAUCUAUGGUUUUGUAGUACCAAGUCCGGAAACUAAACUUUUGGUUUUUCUUUGUCAAGUUUUGGAUAGCGUUUGCAAAUAUAUUGGUAAACAAAUACAUAACGAAUAUAAAUUGAUUGAUUUUAAGCCAUUUGAUUCGGGUCUUUAAAUGAAAUAGCACCACCCACUAUUUUUGGCAAAUUCCAUAUCCCUCAUUGGAAUUCGAGAGUUUUGGAUGAAACUCUUAGUAGGGUAUGGGAGACUCACUAUUACCAAGCCCACCUCAGAAGAAAAUCAUAUUGGCUAGCGUUAAUAAUAAUGAGAGAGUACGCUUACUCAUUUGCAUCUCUUGCAAGUACCCAUCUAGUUUGGCCUCUAGAGAAUGAUGCCUCAGAAGAAUAUCAUAUUGGCACAUUGCACUUAGUUAAGUCAUUCCCACCAUGCUAGUUAAAGUAGGGGUUCAAGAAUGGCCUCAGAAGAAAAUCAUAUUGACCAUACUCGUUGCCUACCUUUACUUCAUCAUAUGUUUAUAGGCUUCUCCUGAAUGUAAGCACAUACUUUGCAACCCCAGAACUGGACGAAUACGGUGUAUGAGUCACAAACGAUUGAAGCCUACCACGGUGGAAGGCCACGAAAGAGUGUUCAAAGCACUCUCACGCUUAUCAACUUAAUAAUGGUUUGGUUGAGGGUUUUUAGGUCUCAUCACAUAUAAACUUUCAUUUUUAAUCUUAUUAAAACAAUUUUGGUCCUAUUACAACUAUUGGUCCAUUUGAUUGUUUUAGUUGUAUAUAAUACUCCCACUAUGCUUAUAAAACGGUUUUUUAAAGCAAGAGUAUAUGAUACUACUAACAUAAACUUUGCAUUCAUUUGAUGGACUAUAUAGUUGCCUUAGGGCCUUAGGAUGACUAUGAACCUUUGUUUAGAUUCAACACGAGCCUAGUGUUGAAUCUCGGUCUAGGGAUGGUGAUUGAUUUUAGUUACGCGUUUAAUCACAUUAAGGCGUGUUGUCUUAGGGGCGUUGGACCCAACUACUUCAUUUUCAUGCAUAUCAAAUAAAGCAAGAAAGAAGUACUUCAAAGUAAAGGUGAGCUUAUGCUCAUUACAACAUUUGCAUAAAUCAAAUUACUUUAAAGUAAAGAAGAGCUUAUGCUCUUUUACAACAUUUGAUCAAAUCAAAUUACAACCAAAAUCUAAUCUACACAUUCCCAUGGUUCAAACAAAUUUGAAACGGCCUUUCACAUAGCUCAAUUAUCGUAGGCUUAGGUUCAUAAUCACCCUUUAAUUAAUUAACACUUUAACUAAUUAAAUUAAAUGCAACAUUUUCAUUUGGUUUUUGUAUCCAUAAGAUUGAUUUAAAUGGAGCUAAAUGAAAUGAAAAUCCAAUUCUCAUUUAAAGAGACAAAACAAUUUUGUUCUCUACCUAAUUUGGGCCAAUAUGCAAUUACCACAACCUUUGGGCUAUAUUGCAAAAACAUAAACUUUUGGGGUCACUUUGUAAAAACACAAAAGUCCACUACUUCAUGUAAUUACAACUAGAACCCAAAAUUUAAACAAUGCAAAAACUUCAUUAAAGGAGCAAAACAAUUUGUCCUUUAGCGUUUUUGGACCUAAACGUAAAAACGUAAACUUUUGGGCCAAAGUGCAAAUACACAAAAGUAUCAAAACUUUAUGUAAUUGCAUAAAAGCCCCAAAAGUACUCCCACUUGAGGGAGGGCCGGUUUUGGAGAAGGAUUAGAGUGAUGUGUGUGUUGAUUUGUGAGUUUUGACAUAAAGCAUGCAAGUGGUGCAAGUGGUGUGUGUGAAAGGGAAUUAAUCCUUUCACACCCACCAUUAUUUCUACCAUCAUUUAAACAAAUAUCUAACACAUUAAAUCAUUUGAAAAACAUAAAACAUAAACUUUAUGAAAUAAAUCAAAACUUUGAAUCAAAACACAAAAACCUUUUUGUUCUUGGCAAAAAUGUCAAGAACAAUGAAGAACAUUCAUGAAAAACCCAAAAAUUUCCAUGAACAUUUUUCAUCCAAAAAACAUCCCAAAACCAUUCAAACUUUAGGGAAAUAACAUAUAACCAAACUAGGGUACAUAGGGGUUCCAAAAGUUACUUGAAAACACUUUUAACAAGUCAAACAAGAACCCAAAAAUCCACCCUUUGGAUUUGGCCGAAAAUUCCCAAAAGCAUGGCACCAAAUUUUAGCUUCAAUAUUCAUGCUCAUAUGAACUACAUCUACAACAUUUGAGAUGGCAAAUUUUCUAACAAAAUUUACAUUCAAAGAAACAAGAAUAAAGCUUGUAACAUAUUACAACUUUUAAAUCACAAACUAUGAACCACAAAACCCAAAAGGAUUCACCAACUACUAGACCUAGGCUCUGAUACCACUUGAAGGAUGAUUUUGUGAAAACAUGUUCAUUUGAAUAACAUCUAUAGCAUGCAUUUAACAAUUAAAAGGCGGAAUCAUGCUUGCAUGCAUUCAAAAACAAAAUAUUACCCAUGAAAUUCAAAGCCUAGUAGAUUGGUGAACCAAGACUCAACUCAAAUCAAAGUGAGUUGAGAAAUUAUACCUUUGUAGAUUCCUCUUUGCAUAAGCAAAGGCUAAUCACCCAAAGAGAGGGCCUUCAUUCCUUGCAUCUUAGAUCUAUGGAUUUGGAUGGAUGGAAUGGUUCUCCAAGUUCCCAAAAUUGAGAACCUCUAAGUAUCCACACCAAGGUAAGAUUGAUGAAGAAAUGAGUGACCUUGGAGGAGAAAGAUUACUAGCUAAUCCCUCCAAGGGGGCCGGCCUCUUUAGAGAGAAAGGGAGAGACAUGUUCUCUCCAAUUUUCUCCAAAAGAACCCUUAAUGAAUUUUAGGCUAUAAAGUUCUUUAUAUAGUCACUUCUUUAAAUAACCUAAAGAACCAAAAACCCUAAUUCAACACACAUGGCCGGCCACAUAAGGGAUUUGGGCUUUCGGGCCUUUGUGAAUCUUUAUUCAUUAAAUUGUCAUACAACUUAAGUCAAUGGGCUUGACGUUCGAAGCCCAUUGGGCCUUAAGGUCCAAAACUAUCUCGAGGUCUUUAACGAACUUAUUCGUUUGAUUAAUUAACAUAUUAAUUAAUCCUUGCCAUAAAUAAUUAAACCAUUUAAUUAUUCUUACUCAUCUCCAUUGUUUCUUCAAUCUCCACCUUACACGGUGUACGAUCCAUUAGGUUCCUUUUAGCGAGGCAGUGGGCGAUUAAAACUCUUUCAAAUCGAUUGUGAAUUGAAACUUACUUUCAAUUCUCCCUUUAGUGUUUAUACACGUGUAGGGCUUCCACAAACCAAGAGUGACACCUAGCAGCAUAUCAUGGUUACCCAAGCUAAUCAGAAGAGGUAGAGAACCUAUUCAGUUUAGGAUUACAAAUGCAAUACGGUCUUUCUCUAAUACAAUACUCUUGACCACAUUGUUUGGUUUGAUAGUUUAUUCAUGUCUACUAUCCAAUGUGAUUCGUGUGCUUAUAUGAUUACCUUGAUUGUGAUUUGGAACGACUUUCCUAAAUCUCAUUCAUACUCUGGCCAGAGAUUCUAAAUCAUAUCAUAGAGUAUUCUCCCCCAAACGGUUUGAAGGUUAGAGAUCCCUUGUUGCGCAUUCACUUGCCUCCAUAGCUAAGUGGCUUAACCCCAACUAUGCCGUGGACACCCUCCUGAUGGAGUGACUUUUGACAUAAUCAAAGAUCAAGGACUUAAUGAGAGGAGCAUAUUUAUGCGCCUUAGUUAGCUAGUUCUUAUGCAUUUUUGUUAUGUUUUCUUUGUUAAAGUAGUCUUUUAAGCUACUUUCUUGUGUUUUCAGGUUUAGCGGACGUAUUACAUGAAAUGAUACAAUUUGGAGCUUUUGGAGCAAAAAGUGAGCUUGAAUUGAAAAGGACAUGCUUGGAACGCAAGGUUGGGAUGGAAUUGAAGAGUUGAAGAUUUGAGGUUUCCUACUUGAAGUAGGAAAGCUAAGCCUAAAAGUUUCCAUUUUGGGUCGAUCUUUCCUAAAUCGGAAUUGGCAACCAAAGUUUCUAAAAGUUGGAAGUUUCUAUUCUUGGAGGUUUCCAUUUUCGAGAGUUUCUAUUCUUGGCGUUGGGCUUUUAGAUGACCUAAACCCAAAUUUCCUUGUGGACCUUCAACCCAUGCCGAACCCUAGGGCCUAAUCAUCUAAAAUCUGCCAUGUUAAACCCUAGUCCAUUUCUCCUAAACCCAAGCCGCACCUUUCCACCUAGAAGCCCUAUUUUACAAACCCUAAACCCUAGUCCACUUAAGUGCCGCACCUAACCCUAGCCCAUUGUUAAAAAUCUGAUUUCAUUAGGGUUUCUAAGUGCCUAUAUAUACCACCCUUACACCCUAGCCGCAUAGCAUCUUCCCCUCUCCAAAAAAAUCAGAAAAUCAUCUCUCCUUUUCCCCACCUUUUGCCGCAGCCACCAUCACCCAAAAUCCAUCCAUUCCAGCCGCCAAUCAUCCAGUCCAGCUACCUACCCCACUUUGCAGCACCACCAUACACCUCCCUUACCCUUUGCCGAACCACCAUAUCAUCCCAAAUCCAUCCCUAAACCGAAAUCACAUCCAAACAGCCCCUAAACCCUCACUGCCGCAGCAAGGAGAAGAAGAAAGAUGAGCUUUCUGUGUAGAUUUCAAAGUGGACUUCUUUGGCAUUUUAGGUGUAAUCUUUCUUAUGUCUUUGAUGUUUCAAUUCAAUAAACUUUGUGUUGUGAGUAUGAGGAACUAAACCCCCUUAGUUGGGGGGUGAUUCGAAACCAUGUACAUGCUUGCAAUUUGAUUCGAUUACAUUCAGUUGUUAUUUCAUAAGUUAUGGAUUCAAUUCGUUCAUCUAUUUGAUUGAUAACUUAUUUGUGUAUGUUGAUUGAGAGUGCACGCUGAGUUUUCAUGCAUGAAUAUGAUGCUAGAUUAUGAGGGAGUUUCACCUAAUAGUUACAAUCUUAUAAUCACAAGUAGUGAAGAUCGCUUGAAAAACGAUCGCGUUGAAUGAAUUCUUAGCAUAAGUUUCAUGCAAUUCAUAGUAACAAAUGCUUCGUCAAUGCUUAUGUUUUUCAUAGAACGUAAUGAUUCUUGCUUGUAUCUCUAUUAUGCAAUUCAUGUAGGGAACUUGUAGGGAAUGUUUUGGGUUGUCGUAUGCAAUCAUCCAACUUAAUAACUUGUGGAAAAACUGAGGGUUAAUUAGUGCAAUUCACGGUUAACUUGGGGCGUUGAGUAUUCAUAGUUUAUCGGAAGAACAACUGAAAAUCGUUUUGUUUGCAAGUGUGACAUGUGUGGAGAAGAACCUCCUAACUAGCCUUUUACCCAUCUAUUUCACCAAAAUCGUUUUUACAAUCUGCCCUAUUUCCAAUCUGUUUUCUUUAUUUUAAUUUUCGUCAAAACAAAAUCCCCCUUUAUUUUAGAGUCUUAGAUUAGUUAGAAAGUGUUUUGAUUUGUGUUUCUAAGUGUUUUGAUUCAAGUUUUCAUCAAAUUUCGUCCAAAUUAGUGUAGGUGCUCAAAACUGCCCAGAAAGUGGUUUUUAGACAGUUUUGAGCCUUCUAGUUGCUGUUUUGAGUUCUAGGUUUGUUUAAGUGUUUUAAACUUUAGUUUUGCAUUCUUUGAGUCUAGUUUAGUGUUUUAACUUUGUUUUUGAGUUUUUAAGUCUGUUUCCAAGUGUUUAGCAAUCCCUCCUAAUCCCCGGUCUAGAACGAUCCCUACUUACAUCUUUGCUACAAUUUGACAAAAAGAGGGUUUAAUUUGUGUGUUAGUUAAUAUCAUAUCACUUAACCACAAGACAACUAUGAUGCCUCAGGUCAAAGGACUACUUUGCAUUAUCCCAACCAUGAGUUCUUAUGUGACAUGAAUAUGAGAACUCUUCGUUGACCGCGUUCAGUGAACUCAUUCUCUAUUGAGCACCUACGUACUUGUCUUGAUGUCACACACACCAAUGACUCGAGACUAGUCACUCUCCCUGAGAGAAGACACAGCACGUACUGAUCUUAACGGACUGUCAAUGCCCAAUUGGCAAUCCUAUGAUCAGGAACAUUUAGGAUGUGUCUACGAAAGAAUGGUCUCAUGAAUCUAACUUCUUUAGAUUGCAUUCUCCCAAUCACAUAUUCCUUGGACUUAUCGUUUAAGCAUAUACAUUUAUAUGAGACGGCUCAAACAAUAAUCUUUGCCCUUGAUAUUAAACUAGAUUAGUUUAACAUGUGAAAUGUCCGUAAAGUAUCAUUAUAUGAUUGGUUUUAGGGCACAUUUCCAACAAUACGGUCCUUCUCUAAUACAAUACUCUUAAUCACAUUGUUUGAGUGAUAGUUUGUAUCAUGUCUACUAUCCAAUGUGAUACUUCUCUAUAUGAUUCAAUUGAAUAUGAUUUGGAACAUACUUCCUAAGUCAUAUUCGUAUGCUUUGGCCAAAGACUCCCGAAUCAUAUCUUAGAGUAUUCUCCUUCCACCAUGGAAGGUUAGAGAUUCCUUGUUGUGCAUUCAUAUGCCUACAUGACUAGGUAGCUUAACCCCAACAAUGCCGUGGACACUCUGGAUGGAAUGCCUUUGACAUGAUCAAAGAUCAAGGACCUAACCAUUAGACAUCUAUGAUGCCUCAGGUCAAAGGACUACUUUGCAUAUUGCAACUUACGAGUUCUUACAUGACAUGUAUGUUCGAACUUUCUUUUGAUCGUUGUUCAGUGUACUCGAUUACUCUUUCAAGCACCUAUGUGUUUGUCUUAGUGUACAACACUAAAUGACUUGAGACUAGUCAUACUCACGCUUGAGUUGACAUAACACAUACUAUCCUUAGCGGAUUGUCAAUGCCCAAUUGGCAAUCCUAUGGCUAGGAACGUUUUAGGAAUGAACAUAAGAGAAAGGUCUCGUUAAUCUAACUUAUUUAAAUCACUUCUCUCUUAGAUCAAAUACAUUCCUUGGAUUCCUUUAUUGCUUAAAUACAUGAUACAAUAAAUAGUGAUUAACAAUAAGCUUUGCCCUUCAUUAAACAUAUAAUAGUUUAAUACAAUAAGUAUUCCAAAGGCUAUUACAUCAAAUGAGUGGCUUUGUUGGCAUACUUCCAACACUAUAAAUGAGAGUCAAUUCAAGGAUGUAAAUGUGUCAGAUGUUAGAAAAAUUCCUAAGCCUUUUAAUAAGAUAAAAAUACACAGAAUCAGAAUGAGAAAGAAUAGGAGAAAAAAAAAACAAAAAAAACAAAAAAAAAACAUAGAAUCUUGAGACAGCAGGAGUCUUCAGCCUUGAGCAGUUUCUAGGUUCUAGCUUUCCUAACUUUUUAUGUAUUUUAUGAUGUUUUUAAUUUAGUUUAUGGAUACUUAGGGCUGCUUUGAAGUCCUAGAGAUGAUUGAAUUAAUGUUAUGAUGCAUCUUUAGUUUAUCAAUUUCAUUUGCAAGCUAGAAUCAGUUUCUGUUUCAAUCAUUUCAAGCACAUAUUUUCAAGCUUAGCUACCUUGUUUAUGUUUGCUUUCUGUUGAGAACGAUAAGGAUGACUACCAUAUCUUCUUUCAUUCAUUAGUAACAUGUGGUUAGGUUCAGAACUAAUCAUGUAAAUUGAUUCCAUGAAGUUCUAGGAUAAAUGCCAUGUUCUAGGGUUCAUGUGAUGUUCAUAAUCCUCUUUGUUCUUAAUGAGUUUCUAGGUGCUAAAUCUGAGUAUAUGCCAUGCUAGGUUGCACCUACAAAUAUGUGAACAUCUUAUUUGUGCAUUUGAAAGGGAUAAGUUAAAAGAUCAUAUCACUGAUUCAGGAAUGUUUAGGGGAAGGCCUUUGUUUAUUUGAAGUCAGAUUUAAGUCCUAAAAACGUUUCUAACCUAUUUCAUGUCUUAGGUUUACUUUUAGAUAGUUCUAAUUGUUUCCUUUUCUUUUUGCCUUUAUUUCUUUUCCAAAAUUACUCAAACCCCCCAUUUUAUAUCAUAGGAGUCUUUAACUAAUGCUAAUUUGUAAGAGUAAAGGUUUUACUAAGUUGUUUCUCAAUCCCUGUGGUUUGACACCCUUACUUGUGCCACUAUACUAUCCUUAUAUUUGCACUCGAAAGGAACUUCAAUAGUCACAAUAACAUUUAUUACUUUCCUAUUAGCCUUAGCCGAUGUGACUUCACCUGAGGUCCAAUCAUACUUUGCUUUUACCAUAGAUUUACCAUCCAUAAUUCCUGAGAGAGCCCUCCAUUUAAUGGUGAGGUAAUCAACUGCAUUUGAAUCUUGUGCCUUCGAAAAGAUUUGAAACUUUUGACACCAUGCAUCAUAGCAUGUUCUGUUAGACUCCACCAAAUACCAAUAACUCCCAGAGAUCACUCUAUGUAUAUCUAGACCAAAUCUCUAAUACCAAUUGAAAUUGGGUACUAGGUGGAAUAUAUUGCAAGUAAAAAUUUUACUUUGCAUAGUAGACUAGUCAAAUGAGCUAGUCAAAAAACCUAACUGACCAAUAUGUUCAACUAAUCAAAGUAUGCCCAUAUUAGUUUCACAACAAUGAUUCCUAAACUUGAACAACUUUACAUAUCAGUUCAUUAUGCAAACAACAAUGGGAAAGCAAUUAUGAAUUAAAGUAUGUUGGAUUGACUAGUUAAUGAUAGGAGCAUAUUUAUGCGACUUAGUUAGCUUGUUUUCUUGCAUUUUCAUAGUUAGUUUGUGUUUACUUUAGUACUUUAACCUAUUUUCGUGUGUUUGUAGGUCCAAUUGGCAAAGUUGGCAAGAAAGUGCAUUUUGAAGCAUUUUAGAGCAAUUUUGGGUUGGAUUGGAUUGCAUGCAUGUGGAGCACAAGGAAUGGAUGUUUUUGAAGAUCAAAUGAAACGAGGAAUGUACUAAAAAGAUAGAGAAAUUAAUUCAAGACUUGGAAGAUGAGUAAUCAGCUGUAAAGGGACCUAAAUCCCUUCUAGAAGGCCUAUCCCUUCUCUUAUACAUGUGCCGCAUCCACCUUUCUAGAAGCCCUAGAAAGGUGGUGCCCCAAACCCUUCUAGAAGUUCCAAUUUCUGCCACAAAACAUUUUCUUUCUAGAAGCCUAAAAGAGUGCCGCACCCUUUCCUUCUAGAAACCCUAAAACUCCGCCAGAAAUCCUAGUUAUUUUCCCCCUUGGAUUGGGCCAAGCCUUGUGCCGCAAACCCUAAGCUUUUUCCUCCUGAAAUUUGGCCAAACCCUAACCUAUAAAUAUAUUUUUUUAGCCAUAAUUUCGACUACCACCCCCCAUAUAAUUCUACACUCCCUUUCAGCUGCAAAAACACCAAUUAACACCUUUUGCCGCAACUUUGGAGAAGAAGAAGCCUUUGCCGUGGCUUCCAUUGGAGAAGGAGGACCUUGUGCGCAAGCCACCUGCAACCAUUGGAGUUUUAAGAGUUCUUUCUUCCCUCGUUUCAUUUCCAUGUUUAUUUUCUGUGCUUUUCAAUUGCUAUGAACACAUGGAACUAAUUCCUUUUUAGUUAAAGGUGAAUUCAAAGCCAUGGACAUAUGUUUAUUAUGAAUUGAUUACUUUUAAUUUUUGUUUCGUAAAACAUGAAUGUGAUUUACUUAUCUGUUUGAUUGAGAACUUAUUCUUGUGUGUUGAUUGAGGAUGCAUACUUAGUUUGCAUGCAUGAAUCUGAUGCUGAAAUAUAAGGGAGUUUCACCUAAUAGUUACAAACUUAUAUUUACAAGUAGUGAAGGUUGCUAGUCACAAUUGUGUUAAGUAGAUUCUUGGCAAGAGUAUCAUGCAGUUCAUAGUUACAAAUGCCAUGUCAAUACUUAUGAUUUUCAUAGAACGUAAUGAUCUUUGAUAUGUAUCUCUAUCAUGUUGUUCAUAUAGGGAACUUGAUAAGAAUAAUUUGGUUGCAAUGCGUUGUCCAUUCAAUUCAAUGAACUUAUGAAAAUCUGAAAGUUAAUUAGUGCAUUCACAAUUAAUUUGGGGCAUUGUCAUUCAUGGUUUGAAGAAACAAUACUGGAAAUCAAUUUAUGUGCAUAUGUUUCAUGUGUGGAGAAGGACCCUCUAACUAGCUUUUCACCCUUGAAUUCAUCUUAGUUUCGUUUUAACUUACUUUGUUUGCUGUAAUUUACUUCCUUUUGUCAAAUUCGUCCAAAACCCCCUUUAGUUUGUCACAUCCCGCCCUGGGGCGGAUCACUUCUCGGGCCCGCUCCACCACUGUAGAAUGAUAUUGUCCGCUUUAGGCCCCGACCACGCCCUCACGGUUUUGUUUCUGGGAACUCACGAGCAACUUCCCAGUGGGUCACCCAUCCUGGGAGUGCUCUGGCCUCCUUCUCACUUAACUUCGGAGUUCCGACGGAACCUGAAGCCAGUGAGCUCUCAAAAGGCCUCGUGCUAGGUAGGGAUGGGAAUAGACAUUUAAGGAUCACUCCCCUGGGCGAUGUGGGAUGUUACAUAUUUGGUGUCUUAGUUUAGUUAAUUUCGUUCAAAUCUGUCCCCAUUUGGUAUUUUGAGUCAAGUUGGUUUAGAAUUCGUCCAAAUCACUCUUUAGUAGUUGCUUUGAGUCUUUUUAACUUAGUUUUGCUGUUUUGAGUCAAUUUGGUUAGUUUUGAGUCAUGAGAGUCUAGUUUUCUGUUUUUGAGUCUAGUUUAGUGUUUUAAAGUUUAAAUUGAGUAGAUUAGCAUCCCUUCUAAUCCCCGGCCUUAAAUGAUCCCUACUUACAUAUACUACAAUCAUAGGGUUUUAAUUUGAGUGUUGGAAUAUUUCACAUCAGUUAAGCUCACCAGUCAACUAAGUACAAAUCGUCAGUUAAUCAAACACAAAUCUAUGAAUCAAACUUAGUUCACUACAAGUUAUCCUAGUCAACAACAAUUUAGUUCAUGAAUAUGCAGCGUAAACUUAGUCUCUAACACAUAUCAAAUAACAAUUCAUAUGAUGCAUGAAGCAAAUGCAAGUAAAUAUGUGGACAAGUUUAAGAGACAAAGAAUGCAACAAUUUUUUGGCCAGAAAAACCCACCUCUGGGUUAAAAAAUCGAGGACUCUCCACUGAGUCCAAUCCACUAGUGUAAUUAAGAUUUUUACAAAGUUCAAUUCCUAGAUCCUUAUCUAUGAAGGAGCUUUACAUUUGUGCAACCUUACCUUACACGAGAUAAACUCCGUCAGUCUUCACGAAGUGGCUGCUCCUCUAAGCUCUUCACCUUGUGGCAGCAAAAUCAAAUCAACUUAUGCAAAUGAUGUUAUGAUGAAGUUGAUGCAAAUCUGGAUUCGAUGUCUAGUCAGUUUCACCAGUCAAACACUUAAAGAUGAAACUGACUCAGAUGCAAAAAGUGGUCAGUUAAAAGAUUUGAAACUUGAAAAACUUGACCACAAAAUUAAAACAAAAGCAUGAAGAUCAUAAGCUCAUAUUUAUAUAUAUUUUACAUCAAAUUCACUUGUCUUUUCUUUGUUAGUUCCUUAUAUUUUUGAGCUAUUUACUUUGUUUUUGUGUUUUGUGGGAUUUGUCAAGCAAAUAAAAGAAAAAUAGCACAAGUAGGAUUUUUAGUAACAAAUUCGUCAAAACAGCCUGUGCAGAUCAGCUGACUUUGGAAGCAAGUUGUGAACUGCUCAGAAUGAAUUAGAGAACAACCCUUAUAUGCUUGGAAAGCUACGGAUGUCUAUUUUAUGGAGCAUUUCGUGGAUUGCGAAUAUCAUUUUUCUAGACGAAGUUAUGGCCAUUUUAACACUGAAAGGUUACCAAGAGGCUGAGUAGUUUGUAACUGCAAUGGAAGCAAUAAAUCCAAUAAAACUAGCAGCCAAAACUGAUGCAGCCAAGAACAAGUCAGCUGACACCUACUCAAAUAUCAGAUGAAAUGGAAUUAAAAAUGAGGAUUAAGAGGGAGUAAUUGGCAUAAAGGCUACCUAAAGUGUUACAAUUGUUUUACCACAUUUCCUCUCACUUAUUGUCAUCACUAAAUGGCUAUUAGUGGGUGAGUUAAGGAGACGAAAAUGAUGCAGCAAGAAUGGGUUUAAAAGCAGCAUUGGGGAAGGAAGGAACGGGGGAGGAGGCCUCGGUCGAUUUCUUUCGGUUCUAUCUUCUCAAACUCAUGUCUAUCUUUGUUUUAACUUAAGGAUUGUGUGUAACUAAAUUUUUAGUAGUUAUGGGCUGUUUUGAAGCCCCGAAUAUGAUUGCAAUUUUGUUAUGACAUUUCGUUGAAUUACUUUUAUGAAUGGAUGAAAAUUGGUUCACUACUUGUCUCAUUGAUGAAUUCUUUAUUUGUUUUCUAUGGAUGCAUACGUAGUAAGCAUAUCUAGGAUUCUAAUGCUAUGAAUAUGUGUGUGCCUGCCCUUGUCGAAUGAGGACCUACAUAUGUUCUAGAGUAGUACUUGUUAAUUGCGAUCAACAUGUGAACCAAUUUCUAGGAUAAGUAAGACAACGCCAGUACUUACGAUGCCUUGUGAUGACUCAAACUCUUUUCGUUCUUAAUGAUUUCUACUUGUUAAAUCUAUGAACACGCCAUUCUAGAUUGCAUGUUAGGGACUAAGUUAAGUUGAAAACGCCAUUCUCUUAACAUACUACGUAAGAAAGAGUAAUAGGUUGAGUUCUAACAUUGAGCCAACUUGAGCAUCUUCAUCCGGAAAUAAAAGGAAUUUGAAUGAAACAUAACAUGUUUGCAUGAUUAUUUGGUGGUGGAUAGUAAUUCCCCAAACUCGUUUUUCUUAAUUUAUGAACUAUUUAAAAUUUGUUUCUGUCCUGUUUUUGUUCAAUUUAAUUUAAAUAGAAAAUCAACUCCAAAAUUCCCAAAAAUUUGUGUGAGUGUAGCUCUGUAUGUCUAGUGUUUUCAUAUAAAAUUUCGUAAACUUUAGAUAAGCGUAAGUCAGUCUAAUAAUUAUUUUUUGGUGGCUUGUCAGUAGGGACAGGGACAUUUUAAGUAGUUAGAUAAAACAAUCUUCUGCGGGAAAGACCCUUAUUUUCAUAUGCUACAAUUGACAAAUCUUAGCUUUAAUAAGGAAAAUCAAUAGGACAUUUGUGUGCUACUUUGUGGUGUGCUUUUAAUCCUAUCAGAAGACAAUACUACCCUAUUAUGCAAUGAUUGGGUGUUUGAUGGAUGAACAUGGUUUUGUGGCUAAGGUUUCAAUGAAGAACACAAGAGGUAGCUUAAAGCUAAAAUCAACUAUUUUCUGAAAAUGUAAAACUCCUAGAGAAAACAAAUGAGCAUAUAAAAUGAAUUUAAGCAAGCAAUUUCAAAGAUAUAUUUAGAAAUAUUCGACGAAGAACAUUACCCACAGAAUAUGCUCGAUGCUUCUAGGAGAUAUGAGAUGGAGAUGAAAAUAAAGCUUUCCAAAAAACUUUUCCAAUCUUUUACACCAAAAAACAAAUGAACCCUAGAUUGAUCUUUUAAAGAGGGUUUGAUGUUCGUUCCAUAAUUAACACUCUCCUAGACACAAACUCUCUCAUAAACCUAGAAGUCUAUAGACACAAACUCCCUCAUAAACCUAGAAGUCUAUAGACUAAGUGGCAGCACCAAAUUGGAAAUGUCCAAAUUUAUAGCAAAUACACAAUUCAAGGAUAGCAAAAGCACAAAAUGUAGUAACAAUUAAGCACAGGUAAGUAAACCAACUCCCUCAGAAAGGAUGCAUGUAAUGAAAUUGAACUCCACCAGAAUUGAUGCUCUUCAUGUACACACACUCCCCCAUAAUUCUAAAUCAUGACUUCAUUUAUUUGACAAGGGACAAUGACUUAACAGAAAAUAAAGAUGUAUAUUGACACAUGAAUUUGAGCAUAAGCAUAGAAAAAUGUACCUAAACAACCAACGGCAGCUUAUUAAGAUUCUAGUGACACACCCUGACCGAAGUUGAGACGUGAUGGCCGUCACGUGAAAGUGACAUAGCCAAGUGCUCAACAAAAGUGUUACUAAUAAAAGAAAUGUGAAUAAUUAAAAACCAAAAUUAAACUAAUUUAACUAGAGAUACUAUGGAAGUGUGUGAAAGUGAUCAAAUAUAAGAUACAUGCACAUCAAAACAUAGGUUAAACGAAAGUGCAGUCAAAUUAAUUAAGUACUAAUUAUACAAACAGGGAGAAGAUCCCUACUUUUAUUUAUGGAAACGUCAGAACCGCCGUGUAGUCCUCGUGAGCCACCAAAGACAAACAGCUACCUAGAACUUGGAAGGGUGUAAAACAGAAGGGUGAGUGGGCAAAAACAAAGCUUUAGAAAAACACAUUUAUCUUUAUCAACAUAAUAACCACUGUCUGUAAAACCUGUAUAAUUUCCAGGAAAUAUUAAUAUGCACGUAUAUAAAAACAAUGUUCAAGAGCAGUGAAAACAAAAUUAUGCCAUGUCAUAACGUUCAACACUAAAAUAUGUAAGCCAAGUGAAAAGUCGAUAUAAAUUAGCAUGCCAACCCGAGUCACCUAACGUGACCUAUACGACUGGACCUAUAGCUCAUCAACAUAUGUCUACACAUGAAUCGGAGUCACCUAAUGUGACCUGUACGACAAGCUGGGUGUAAAUAAGUACGCUCAAGUGCUACGAUCACGUGUAAGCUAUGCAAUAGAUCACGGGUCACCUACGAGUCAGAACCACCUAUUGUGGUGUGUACGACAGGCUAGCAUCAAAACUUGGAUCCAAGGUGAGCGUGUGGUGCAGGAGGUGAACAAUCACAUGAAAGUUGUGCCCUGGCCUCGAGCGGGAGCACUAAGACCAGGGUGUAGCAUAAUAAGCUUUAAAUGAGUAAAUGCAUAGCGAUAUGCAAUGCAACAAGAUGAAUCACAUGACUCACCUGAAGCUUACCUGAGCCUCCGCAGCAUCAAAUUCAUACUAAUGCAACGAUAUAGUAAUAAGCGGUAUAGACAUGGCAUACAAGGCAUAAAUUUCUUUAUAAAAGUUUUUUUUGGAAAUCGUAAAGCAUAUAUAUAUAUAUAUAUAUAUAAAGCAAAUGCCCACUCAAUAAUAAGUAGUAGAAUCGUAGCCCCUUAGCCUCACUUGUACACUCUCGUUAUCGGGGUACGUCUCACCUAUAUGUGAUACAACUAUUUUAACGUUAAUUCGAUAACACAUAAACAAAGCCCAAGAUUAAUUCCUCAUACGUUGCUCAAAUGGGGUGUUUGAAUAUACCAACGCGAUCUACUCGACAGUACGAACACACACAUAUUUUUAGAAAAAAAUUUGGACACCGGACGCACAGGCACACGCCGUCCGUGUGACUGAUGCCGUUAGGAAUAUUCUGUCAAUUUGAUAGAAUAUUCUAUUAAAUGUAACUGACGGUACCUGACGCUGUUAGAAUAUUCCGUUAAAGUUAACGAAAUAUUCCCUUUCUUCUCUGGUCACUCUGCCGGUCUUGCACUCGUCGGUUUCUGAAAAAACAUUCUAGAGCUCAUAACUUUGUCAUUUCUCAACCAAAAUCCAUGAAAUUUAUAUUGAUUUGAAGGUCUUGAAUAGUAGAACACAUUCGUACCUAAUAGAAGUUCAAAAUGCAAUGGAAAAUGGUGGGAAAUUCCCUCGAUACUUCUGGCCAACUCUGCAACCUUCCAAACUCGUCUAUACCAAUGUCCACUUCACUCCAAAACCACUUCAGGGUUAGGAAAGUUGGGUGAAUACCUUUCCAAGCCUUAAAAUCUCGAAACCACACCGAGAUAGCGUCAGAGCAAACUUGACUCCUCGCCGGAGCUUCUGGUUUCUCAUGUUCCUGUUAUCUGUUCGAUGAGCUAAGGGUAUAGCUGAGUUCGUGAGGUCAAGAUGAGAAUGAUGGUGGUUUCCAAAGACUCGGUCCAUGAGGGUUUGAUGAUGAUGGUGUAUGUGGGUGUCACGACGCAGAGAGAAGAAGGAAAGAGAAGGCACAAGAAGAGGGGAGAAAGUAUACACGUGUGUGUGUGUGUGUGUGUGUGUGUGUGUGUGUGUAUCCUUCUGAUUAAGCAGAAAAAGAAAAUGUUAAGCCCUGAUUGGGCUGCCGUAAGAGAGGGAGAGAGAGGACUAAUUUUGAUUAGUUUAGAUGAGAUAAUAGUCCAAAUACAUAAUAGGGUCCAAGGAAAUAGGAAUUAUGGUGGUUGGUCUGUUAUUUUGGUCUGUUUUACAACUCUGAUUCGGCCCUAACUCACGUCAAUGCGCUCGUGACGUCAAGUACAAUCUAAUUACGAUAGUGAGGAAAUUAAUUUAGAAAUGCAUGUGUACAUCCACUUCGCUAAGCCAACAAGGGCAAUAUUGUCACUUUACACACUAGAGGAGGAAAUAUAUAUAAUAAUUUGGGACGAGUCAUCACAUCUAGAGAUCGAGAUAACAAUUGAAUCAUUGCACCAAUAAAUUACAGCUAAAGCACAAGCCAUGAAAGGGAUAAGAAAAAGUAGUUUGAGACCGUUUUGGAAAGUAUGGACCAAAAAAUCAAAUAUCUAAAGGGCACAUUAGAGAGAGAGAGCAUAGCAUGCAAAACUUUUAGCAGCAUCAAGAAUGAGACUUCCAUUGUUUAAGAUAUGACUCGGAGGCUUAACCUUUGGAUAGAGGAACCGUAGGGUCCUGAUAGGCUUGAUAAUGGUAGGCUUCUAUGUCAUAGUGACCAGUGAACAACUCAGAAGGGUGCAUACUAGCAGCAGAGGUGAAAGUGAAACCUUAGAGAUGUUCGAGAAGGUAAAUUCCUAGGAUACCAUGAAGAGAUCAGAACCAUAAAAGGUAGAUGAAUGGUUGAGAUGAGGAGGUCAAAUACAUAAAGUGCAUUAACAGAAUUACCUCAAUAUUUUAAUUUUUUUUACAAGAACCACUAACUCGAUAGAAGAGAAAAAUGUCCAUUUAAAAACAGUUUCCUACAAAAGCUCAAAUCAAAGUAUUCAACCAAUUGGGACACCACAAAGAAGAAAGAGAUCAUAGAAGACAGUCAUAACCUUAGCACCAAUAAACAACAGCUAACAAGACAAACCACAAAGGGAAUGAAUGAAGAAAUAGCUUCAACAUCUAUGCUUCCAAGAGAUAGUAGACAAAAUACUUGAAUUAGAAACAUGAAAUGCAACUCUCAAAAGACAAAUAUUCAAGAUUAUACAUGGACAACAAUACUUAGACUAACACUUGCUCAUGAAGCAACAAUGAUGUGUCAAGGUAUAGGAAGAGGGACAAGUGAUAGCAUUCUUGAAAUCAUAGCUCCAUGCUACUAGUCCCAAUGUUAAUUCAAAGGCUAACCAAACUUUUAAUAAUCUAUUUGAAGGAAAAAUUUGUCCUAGCUAAGAACAAGUAUGAACAUUUGAAUACAUAUGCAAGCUAUAAACACUUUAAAGUAGGCAUGCAUCCAAAAACAAUUCAUAAAACCCAUGACUUUCAAAGCCUAGUAUAUGGUGAACCAAAAUAAACUCUUUAACAACAUUAAAGAGAAAGAAGAAUUUAGUGAUUCUUUACCCUUGAAGCUCAUCCUUGAUUACACAAGGGAUUCACCCAAGUGGAGGGCCUUCAAGUCACCUCCAAGCUCCUUGAAUCCUUCUUGUGUUUUCCUCCCUUUAGUGCUCCUUUGGAGAUUAGAGGAAAUAAGGAUUUGUUCUCCAAAACACCAAAAGCUUGAUGUCUCUAAGUCUCUUCACCAAGGUUGUAUCUUGUGAAGAUGAAAUGGAUGACUAAGGGAAGAAGAGAUUGCUAGAUGUCCCUUCCCUUAGUGGCCGGCCUCCUUAGAAGAAAAUGGAGAAAUGUUUCACCCAAUUUCAACAAGAAGAACCCUAAUGAGAAAAUUGCUAUAAAGUUGCUUUUAUAACAUUUUCUUUGGUGAGUGGCAAACUUGUAAUUAAGCAAGCUUGCCCAUUCACCCUAAUGGCCGGCCUCUCCUUGUUAUUGGGCUAAUUUGCCCAUUUUGUUUUUGUUGUCAUACAACUUAAACAUAAUGGGCCUUUUGGACCAAAACGCUUUUGGGCCCCGAAACCCAAAACCAACAUAUAAGCCCAAUACGAACCUUUCGUAAAAUUAAUUAACUAAUGAAUUAACCUUGACCAUUCUUCAAUUAAACCAUUUAAUUGCUUAUCCAUUUCAUAUAAUUUCUUCACAUACAUCCUUACUCGGUGUACGAUCCAUUAGGUUCCAAUUAGCGAGGCAGUGGGCGAUGUUACUCUUAACUAUUGAUUGUGAAUUGAAACCACAUUUCAAUUCUCCCUUUAAUGAUUAGUGUUACCUAAUCAUUUGGGCUUCCACAAACCAUGAGUGACACCUAGCAGUAUGUCAUGGUUACCCAAGCUAAGUAGAAUUGGUUGAAGAACCUAUCCAGUUACAACUACAAUGCAAUACGGUCAUUCUCUAAUACAAUACUCUUAAUCACAUUGUUUAAGUGAUAGUUUGUUUCAUGUCUACUAUCCAAUGUGAUACUUUCCUAUAUGAUUCCCUUGAAUAUGAUUUUGGAACAAACUUCCUAAGUCAUAUUCAUUUGCUUUGGCCAAAGACUUUAGAAUCAUAUCUUAGAGAGUAUUCUCCCUCCACCAUGGAAGGUUAGAGAUCCCUUGUUGUGCAUUCAUAUGCCUACAUGACUAGAUAGCUUGACCCCAACAAUGCCGUGGACACUCCAAAGGAAUUCCGUUGACAUGAUCAAAGAUCAAGGACCUAACCAUUAGACAUCUAUGAUGCCUCAGGUCAAAGGACUACUUUGCAUAUUGCAACCUUAGAGUUCAUACAUGACAUGUAUGUUCGAACUCUCUUUUGAUCGUAGUUCAGUGUACUCGAGUACUCUUUCGAGCACCUAUGUGUUUGUCUUAGUGUCCAACACCAAAUGACUUGAGACUAGUAUACUCACGAUUGAGUCAACAUAACACAUACUAGCCUUAGCGGAUUGUCAAUGCCCAAUUAGCAAUCCUAUGGCUAGGAACGUUUUAGGAAUGAACAUAAGAGAAAGGUCUCGAUAAUCUAACUCAUUAGAUCACUUAUCUCUUAAUCAAAUACAUUCCUUGGAUUCCCUUAUUGCUUAAACACAUGAUACAAUAAAUAGUGAUUAACAAUAAGAUUUGCCCUCCAUUAAACAUAUAAAAGUUUAAAACAACAAGUAUUCCAAAAAGCUAUUACAUCAAAUGAGUGGCUUUGUGGGCAUACUUCCAACACUAUUAAGCUUAAGAAACGGCACUUCCUACAUAAUAUGAACAAAGGACAAGACUCGCAAAAAGCAAGACACAAGCCUUGAAAGAAAAGUGAACUUUGGUGUCGAACAUUGAGUGAGGCACCAAUUUGAGAUAUGCCAAGGUCAUUUGACUGAAAGGUGAAUAUUUAUGAGACACCAUUUGAUUUUUAGAAAUUUGAAUUCAUGACCUGUAGAGGGGAUCUUAAAGCACAACCUCAUGAAAUUGCAUGGAAGGACAAAUUAAUGAGAUUUUCCCAUUUUUUUUCAAAGACACCCCUCUCAUACAACACUCUCCCAUUUGAAUUUUUGUUUUUAUUUGAGGAGAGGACAAAAAGAAGAAGAGAAAUGACACAUGGUCUAGAUCAUAUAGUAAGUAAAGUCACUACAACUCAAUCAAGACCAAAAUCAACUUAACCCCCAAAUCAACUCAAUCUUUUGUAAGGUAAGAAAAUUGAUUUUUCCGAGGCUCUCUGAAGUAAAAAGGGAGAACCUUUGACAUCAAAGUGAAAAUGUUUACAAGGUUUAUCCACAAAUUACUGACAAUGUAUAAUAGUCAAGAGAUGCAUACAUAGAGCAAAACAUUAUUUUAUGAUGAGUUGAUAGACAAGAUAGACUCAAUCAUAGAGACAGAACAUGCUAGAAAAAACUUGGAAGCAUAGUUAUUCAUCAUAUUCAAUUAAUAGCACAAAGACCAAUAGACUGUUGAAGAUUUUUAUGCCUUCAAAUGUCUAAAGUACUUGUGAGAUGGUUGACUAGCUGUUUUUCAACUUGUACUAAGAUUACAACAUAAAUUUUCUUUCCAUAGACCAUCCAAAGUGGUGAAAUUUUGUCCAAAAAGAUUGAUUGUUAAAUGUUGGACAAGGUUCUUCGAAAUAUUCAAUUUCAAACACAUGGUCACAGACUCACAAUGAAAAUGAAUGACUAACUAUUUCACCCCAAGGUUAUUGAGCAGAUACAACAACCACAACACAAAAACACAAGUAAACAAGACAAGACCACAAUUUGCAUUCAUAUAAGAAAGAGAAACAUACCUUCGAUUUUCAAUGCAUCUAGCAAUCAACACUAUUGUUAUCUUACCACGAAACAUCAUUAAAGUUUGAGUACUAAGGAUCAUUUCAACCAAAAAGGAUCUUUGGAAAUUCCAUUGUAGGAGACUCCCUUGUGAGACAUCACAAAGUGUUUUCCUAAGAUGUAAGAUUCACAACUAUAACAUUCAGAGAAGUAGAGAUGUGUUGCCUCUUUAUGACCAUUAGUUUAUAAGUUUCUUUGUUCCAAUUUGAGCACUCACCACCUUUAGGAAAAACAAGAUUGCAACAAUUGUCCUCUUAUCUCGGAACAGCUAGGAAGUUCAUUCCAUUUUUAACAAUAAACCUGCAAUGCUUUUUGAAGAAACACACUUCAUUAGCAACAUCAUCAUAAAGCUGGCCAAUGCUAAGAAUGCUUGGUGUCAAAGCAGCCACAUAAUACACAUUUUCAAGCUGAGGAAAAACCAGGAAUCUUGACUACCCCCUUUCCAGCAAUCUGAGCCAUGUAACCUUGACUAAACUCUAUCUCAUCGCCAUUGACAUAUGCAAAGGACAAUAAGACAUCUUUGUCACCCCUCAUAAGAUAGAAAUACUCACUAUCAAGGUACUAAACAUAUGAUUUUGGGAUGUAAAGAGCACAGUGAGCGCCAAAAAUUUAUCAGAAACCCUUCAAAAAUGACUUGGACAAGACUUGAUAUUUCCAGAGCUAGAAGAACCAACAAAUUAAGCCAUUAUGUAGACUUCCAUGGAUAGUCAAUUAGCUUGAUUCUUCAAGUCAUUCUUUCUUUCUGAGAAACGUUUCAACACCUAGGUCAAAUAUCACCAAGUUCACCAUAGGAUGACAUGUGGGAAUAGGUCUUGUCUUUUAAGAAUUACAGACCAUAGGAGUCAUAGGCAAAGAUUCCUCCAUAAUCUGUGUUCUUGUGCCCAUGAAACAUGAACCACAUUCCAUAAACCAAGAUUAUUCUUGGCACCAUAUAGGCUUCUAACACUUAGCAUUUUGUUGGAUUAUUCAGCACCAAGAAUCAGAUAAUCUACUUUAUACAUAGCCUCAAUUAAUUCAACGGUAGUUUCAAGUUGACCUCAUGAUAUGUUUCGUUGUUGGCCCUCAACAUAUAAACUUGUUGUAAUAGUCUUUCUUGAGAUAUCAUCAAUUCCUGAGCCUGAGCUUCAAAAGAAGCAGUAAGAUCAUCUAUUUCAUCUUCAUCAACACAGAUAAGAGCCCUUUCGUUCAAUCCAUGAAACUGAGCAUCAAGAAAACUAACUUUCUCCCUCAAUUCCGUUCUGACUAGUCAGAGAUACUCAACUUCUUUUUUUAGCUUAGAAACAUUCUUGUCAGCUUAGCAUUGUCCAAUUUUGCAACACAAGUCACAUCAAACAAAGAGUCAUACAUGACAAGCAGAUCACGAUGCGAUAUUUCUUUAGUAAUGUUCAACACAAGUUCAUCAUCACCAGGAGACACCUCUUCAACUAAGGUAACAAAGUCAGAAUAAACAGAUUUUUCACUCUUGCUUUCACAUUAGGUAGCCAUUAUUGCUUUGACACAUUUCAGAUUCGGUUUCCUGUUGCUUGCAUACUCAACAACCAGAUGUUUAAUACCACCACAAGAUAAAUAAGGUCCAUGUUCAUUGUAGAAGGCGUGUCCAUACAAUUGAUAAUUCUGCCUUGCUUCCUACCAAAAGUGAAAUUCCUUCAAGGUUGAAACAUGAAAUCUUUUGAAAACUCUCCAGCCUUUUUGACAUCCUUUUCUUUGUUCCUGAGAGUCAUUCUGAAUUGUUUAACAAAAGAAGCUAGAUUAUCUUCUGAAGAUUGAUCAGAUGAUCCCUUGGUGAUCCUAGUUUCUUCAACACUUUGAAAUGCAACAUCUUUCCACCUUUUUGAAACUUCUUUUGCUUGUAGCCUUCAUGAAUAAUUCUGAGCUUAUCCUAUGCAUGCUUGUCAUCAUACAAUACCAAAUGUAGUUGAUUUGAGUUUGUGAGAUGGUAGUGACAAUAGCAUUUAUUGCUCUCCUAUUAACCACGGCCAAUGUGACUUCACCUGAUGUCCAAUCACACUUUGCUUUUACCAUAGAUUCACCAUCCAUAAUCCAUGAGAGAGCCAUCCAGCCUAUUCCGUUAGAUUCUACCAAAUACCAGUAACUCCUAGAGAUCACUCGAUGUAUAUAUAGAGCAAGGCUCUGAUACCAAUUGAAAUUGGGUACUAGGCGGAAUAUCUUGCAAAUAAAAAUUUAACUUUGCAUAGUAGACUAGUCAAAUGAGCUAUUCAACAAGUUACAUAGUCAGUGAUAAAAAGUGCAGUUGCAAGAACAAAACCUAACUGAUCAAUAUAUUUAACUAAUCAGAAUCUACCCAGAUUAGUUUCAAAACAAUGAUUCCUCAACUUGAACACAUUUACAUGUCAGUUCAUUAUACAAACAUCAAUUCCAAAGCAAUUAUGAAUUGACUAGUCAAGAUCACCAAUCAACUAACUAUAGAUUCGUCAGUUAAUCAAACGCAAAUCUACGAAUCAAACUUAGUUCACUACAAGUUAUCCUAGUCAACAACAAUUCAGUUCAUUCCUCAUAAUAUGCAGUGUAAACUUAGUCUCUAACACAUUCAAAUAGUAAUUUAUAGGAUGUAUGAAGCAUAUGCAACAAAAUAAGUUAUUGAAGGGAAAUAAUGAGAUUUAUGUGGGAUUUCUAGUGACUAGCAUGCAUAUACAAUUCAAAAUUUAUAUACAUAAGCAACGGAAGCAUGUUAUCACAUAAUAUCAAAGCUAUAGUCAUGCAAAUCCCCUUCAAGAAGCAUAGGUCCAUAUUUGAUGCAUCUAAGAAAUUAUUGAAGAACAAAGUGAAGGUAUAGUUUUAUACCUCUUGAUCUGGACUUGAGACCAAGGAUUGACCACCUCCAAGCUCUUUGUUCUUGGAACUCCUUGAGCCUAGCCUCCCUCCUUGCUUCCUCUACCUUGCUAGAAUGAGUGCUCCUAGGUUCUCCUUUAGUCUCCAAGGUUGAAGACCUCUAAAGAUCCACACCCACUAGUGUAGUGAGAUGGAUGGAGGAAUAACCAAAAGGAAAGAAGAUGAUUAGCUACUCUUUCCUUUGGUGGCCGGUCUUGUGUGUGUUUUAGAGAGAGAGAUGUUUUUCUUCUUUUGUGAAAAAUGAGCACACAAAACCCUAAUGAAACUUUUCACUAAAAGUCCUUUAUAAAUGUCUAAGAAAUGAAUCAACAACUUGACUCUCUCUCUCUCUCUCUCUCUCUCUCUCUCUUCAAUGGCCGGCCCCUUUUGUGUUGUUUGGGCUUUGGGCUUUUAUCAUUUCAAGUCAUCCUAUGCUUAAAUAAAAGCCCAAUGGGUUUGGGCUUAAUGGGCCCAUAUUAACCUGAACUUUUGUUUAAGUCCAAAAACGAUCUUUAAUCGCUUCUAUGAUUUCUUUAGACUUUCUAAUUAAUCAUAACACUUAAUUAAUCCAAUUAAUUUAUUCCAUCAUCCUUUAGUUGUCUCACUACAAGAGUGUAUCGGUAUACAAUCAUUUUAGGUUCUAAUUAGCAAGGUAGUGAGGUGAUUGGCACCAAUCCAAUUGAUUAUAUUUAAUCCAAUCACUUAGUGAAUUAAAACUUACUUUUAAUUCUCCUUCUUCUUUGACGACUACUUAUUUAAUCAUGUAGAAGAACUCACAAGCCAUGAGUGACAUCUAACCAUAUAUCAUGGCUACCCAAGCUAAUGUAGAAUUUGUUCGGUGAACCUAUUCAGUUGGAAUUACAAUGUAAUUCGAUCCUUCUCUAAAACAAUACUCACAAUCAUAUUACUAGGGUAUGGAUAUUUAAUGUCAAACCCUUAAUAUGAUUAUUCCAUGUUAUAUGAUUCAAUUGAGUCAUAUAGGAACGCUUUCCUUCAUUACACUCGAUACUUCGGCCGAAGAUUCCCGAAUCAUAUCUUAGAGUAUUCAUCUUCUCAUAACAAGGAUUAGAGAUCCCUUGUUGAUCAUUCACAUGCCUAUGAGAAUAAAUCACUGACCCCAACAAUGCAUAGAACACACCCAAGAUGAGGUGUGGUCAUGCCUCAUUAUCAAAAUGAUCAGCAACAUAUCCCCAAGACAACUAUGAUGUCUCAGGUUAAAGGAUUACUUACAUUAUUCCAACCAUUAGAGUUACUUGCUUGACAUGUGAGUAGACCUCCAUGUAAGUACUCUCGUUCGAUUGUGUUCAGUGAACUCAUUCCCUUAAUGAGCACCUACAUACCUGUCUUAGUGUCACUAUGAUCGGAUCAUAUUUAUAUAUAUUUUUACUUCGAAUUCACUCGUCUUUUCUUAGUUAGUUCUUUAUAUUUUGAGCUAUUUACGUUAUUUUUGUGUUUAUAGAAUUUGUUUUGCAAAGAAAAUAAAAAUAGCACAAAUGAGUUUUAAAUAAUAAACAGAAAAGAAAAAAAAACAAAAGCAGCACGAGUGAAAGGAGGAGGUCAAUGCACGUGUCAUGCACAUUAUGCACACAUAUGGAAAUAUGUGAAUGGAAACCAAUGAUACUUGACUAUGCGGCGAUUGGCCAAUAGGAUAAUAGAUUUGCUGGUCAUUGUUGUGUUUUGUAUGUGUGUGGUUUCUUAUAUUAUUAGACAAAGUGUGAGAGCAUCUCCUCGAGUGGGAGAUGUAAAGAAAAAAAAAAGCUUUCUCAUGGCUUGAAGGGCCCUUGUGUUUCUGAAAAGAAGGAAGACAUAUUGCAUAUGUGAUGGUGGAUGACAAAAUGAGUGGAACCACUAGUCAAUUUCAAGGCCCCAACACCAUUGUUUGCGGAAUAAAAAUGUGAGCUGCCUUAGGCAGCGAAGGAGGGAAGUGGACAGCAUUGACUGGUGGAAAAAAAUAAGAAAAUAAAGCAUGAAAAUGGGACGGUAGUGGGGAGUAGGUCAGAAAUAAAAGAAUGGAAAGCAAAGGCAUACGGGGGAGAUUAAUAAGAAAUGGGAAGGCACUGAGGGGGGGGGCGUGAAGGAAAAGAGGGAGCUGCCCUUUUGGGCAGCGUGAAAGUGAAGCUGAUGGGAGGACAGAAAGGGUGACGCGGGAGAAAACGGAGAGAGACAAAAGGCUGCCUUGCGCAGCCUGAGGUCAGGAAUAGAAAAGAGAAUAAGGGAGAGCAGGGAGUGACGCGGGGAGCAAGGCUGCCUUUGGCAGCGAGAACCAACAGAAAUUCAGAAGGCAGGCGGAAUAGAGAGAUAGGCGGAAAAAAUAGAAGUGAAAGGUGGGGAUGACACGGGCUGCCACGGGGCAGCGUGCGAAGAAGAAAUCAAGGCUGACGUGCAGGGAGCAGGGAAAUAAUCAGGAGGAAAGGUGUGACAGCAGUGGGCUAUCUUGGCAGCCCAGAGGACUGACAGAGCACGUACUGAUGACGUAGUGAAGCUGCACAGGAAGCAGAAACACUCUCUCUUUUGGUUAAAUCUUUCCAAACUUCUAUUUUAUUCUGUUUUAAUAAUGUGUAAAUAGACUUAUUUUGGCUAGAGGUUAAUUCAAAGCCAUGAAUAUAUUUGUAAUAUGAAUUGAUUACCUUCAGUUGUGAUUUCUGAGUUGUGAUUUAAUUUGCUUAACUGCUUGAUUGAUAACUUAUUUUUGUAUGUCGAUUAAGGAUGCAUAAUUAAUUUACAUGCAUGAAUUUGAUGCUAGAAUAUAAGUGAAUUUCACCUAAUCGUUAUGAACUUAUAUUCACAAGUAGUGAAGGUUGUUAUCCACAAUCGUGUUAAGUGAAUUCUUGGCAUAAGUUUCAUGCAAAUCAUAGUAACGAGUGCCUCGUCAAUGCUUAUGUUUUUCAUAGAA
rnacentral:lncRNA from 1 species